CGAUUUUUCAAUGUGGGAUCGGAGAAAAGAUUCCAUACUGCGGUCACUCAAGUUCGUGAUUUCGCGAGGAAGAUUGUAAAGGAAAAGAAACAGGAGCUGGCUGAUAAUUCGUCUUUGGAAUCUGUUGAUCUGUUGUCGAGGUUCUUGACCUCAGGCCAUACGGACGAGAAUUUCGCGACGGAUAUUGUCAUCAGCGUCAUACUUGCCGGCCGUGACACAACAUCGGCUGCUUUGACGUGGUUUUUCUGGUUAUUACACAAGAACCCUGAAGUUGAAAAGGAGAUUCUCAAAGAAAUCAAAGGGAAAUCCGGUAUGCCGGUGUUUGAGGAAGUUAAAGACAUGGUUUACACACACGCUGCUCUUUGCGAGUGCAUGAGACUGUACCCUCCAGUCCCAUUGGACAGCAAAACGGCGGUGGACGACGAUAUUUUACCGGACGGGACAGUUGUGAAGAAAGGAACGGCGGUGACGUAUCAUCCUUACGCGAUGGGGAGGAUGGAGAAGAUAUGGGGAUCGGAUUGGGCAGAGUUCAAGCCAGAAAGAUGGUUGCAGAGAGAUGAGGCGGGGAAAUGGAGCUUUGCGGGGAGAGAUCCAUAUACUUACCCAGUGUUCCAGGCGGGACCCAGGGUUUGUUUGGGGAAGGAGAUGGCGUUCUUGCAGAUGAAAAGGGUGGUGAGUGGCGUUCUAAGGCAGUUCAAGGUGGUGCCGGCAGUGGAGGAUGGGUUUGAGCCUUCGUUAAUUGUUUAUCUAACAUCGAAGAUGAAAGGUGGGUUCCCAGUCAGGAUGGAGGAAAGAGAAGAUCUCGAUUGAGCUAAAGCGUCAUGUUUAAUGUGCCAAUCACUGAUUUCAAUUAUUUUGUUUUACGUCGUUUUGUUCCAAUUGUCAUAAUAGCUAAAAUUUGGAUAAAAUUAUUUAUAAUCCUUUUCAACAUUUAAAUAAAAAUAUACAUUUAAAUUUAUAUUUUUCUAUAUUAAUAAUAAUAUCAAUAUUAAUCGAACUAUAAUUUAAUAAUCCUAAAUUAAAAUAUUUUAACUUAUAUACAAGUUUAUGUAAAAGAAAAUUAAAAGAAAGUUAUCCAAACAAUUCAACUUAACUAUCAAUCAACGGGAUUUCUUUAACUAAUAAAGUGACAUAUAAACAUACAUGCAACCAUAUAUAUUGAUAAAGGAUAAUUGUAUUUGUCGAAACCAUUUUUAAGUUUUGAAAAACGUGGAUCGACUUUAAAAAUGUAAAUGAAGUCGCCACCAAUCUUUUCCAAGGUGAGAUUGGGCCACCUUAAAAUCAAUCGUUUUAAUAAAACAUCUGGGCCUAUUAAAACAAUAAUUCUUUUUGGUCUGCUAAGUUUGAGAAAAUAGGCUCGGGAGUCGGUUACGUACGAGGAAUGAUUAGCACCCUCGUAACGCCCAAAAAUUGGUACCUAUUUGAUUAGUUGAUGUCUUGAUGUUGAAAUUUGAAAAGAUUUUAGAGUAAGAUCCUUUUAUUUGAAAGAAAAUCGAAAUUAUUCGAAUAAAAUGUAAAGACCUACCCAUUUCGAAGGAGAGAAUGCCAUACCCAGUAAGUUAGGGUCCAACAUUUCAGACCUUCGGGACUAAGUUGGUCUUCGAUUUUUAAAAUUCAUGUAUGAAAGUUCGAGAGAAGGAUAUUCGGUCCUCCGGGACUCAUGAAAAAUUAGAACUCAAUAAGUUAGAGUUUAAUCUCUCAAAACUCCCAAAUAUCGAAGGUUGCCUUGAUUUUGGAAAUCACUACCUUCAAUAUAAUGCGAUGCCACACCCAGUAAGUUAGGGUGCGACGUCCCGAAUUUCAAGAAUAGGUUUUUAUUUGAACCUCAUACAAUUAGAUUUAAGAAGGGUACUCAAUUAUUUAGGUUCAACGAGGAAAAUUGGUACUCAGUAAGUUAGGGCACAACCUUCCCGAAGAUCCCAGAUAUCGAAUAUUGCCUUUAUUUUGAAAACAAUCGAGGAUAAAUCUUUGAAUAAAAUGAAUUUGAGGCUGUUGAAACUAAAAAAAAAAUGAUGACAUGCGAUAUGAAAAUAGCAGUAUAAUAAUAAACUUGACAGUGUAUAUAUUAAUACCUAGAAUAUAGUAAAUAUAAGGAAAAUCAACAAUAAUUAUAACAAUAGUAAUAAAUAUAAUAACAUAACAAACUUAGCAAUAAAGAUAUUAACGAUACGAAAAUGCAUAAUAGAAGUGAAAAUGAUAUGUUGAAUGAUGAUGUAUAUAUAUAUAGUGAUAAUAGUAAAGUUAAAUUAACAAUGCUAAAUUAGUGAAAGUGAAAAGUAAUAAAUAAUAAUAAUUUAGUAUAAAAAAUAUUCGAUAAAAAAAACUAUGGUAUAUAAAAAUAAUAUAGUAGGUCUAUUAAUAAUUAUAUUGAAAAUACUUUAGCGAAAAAUAUAUACAUAUAAAAAUUAUAAAUAAUAAUAGUAAAAUAAUAGUAAACGGUAAAAAAAUAAUAAAUAAAAUAUAAUAAGUAAUAAACUAUAUUUAAAAUUAUUAUAAAAUAUGUAUAUAAAAAGAAAUAGUACAGAAAAAAUGAUUAUUAGUAAAAACAAAAAUAAUAUAACAAGUAAUGUAAUACAUAUAAUGACAAUUUAUACAUAAAAUAAUUAGUUUUAUUUUAAAUAUAUAUAUAUAUACACGAAGCAUAUAACAAAUAUACAAAUAAAUAAAUAAUAUAAUAAUGUGAAACAUAACUCUAAUUAAUUAAAUUAAAUGAAAAAAAAUAAAAAAAAAUAAUGAAAAUGAUAUAAUAAGUAUAAUAAAUAAUAGUGUAAAAAAUAUAAUAAAUAAUAAGAAAAUAAUUUUAAAAAAUGAUAGUAAAAAAAUAAAAUAGUAAUAAUAGAUUAAUAAUAAUACCAAAAAAAAUAAUUUUGUGAUAAAAGUGUCUAAAAUAAACAAAAUAGGGCUUAAUUGAAUUAAAAAAUGAAAUUCUGGGGUGAAAACAGAACAAAAGGAGACAAGGGGACCAAAAUGCACACGUGGGUAAGGAAGGAGGGGUCUGGGCGCAAAUUUCCGGGGUAAUUUGAAAGCACUUAAAGAAAACAAAAAAAUGAUCUGAUUGAAUGUAGGCGCAGAGGACAGGGACUAGUCGCCAAAAUUUCCCAUUUAAAAGACAUAUGCACAUUUCCAUCCUUUGAUGCACGGCCAGCUUUUCCCCUUCCCCAGGCUCUACUUUUGAGGGAAAAAAAAAUAAAACAAAUGAUGCCUUUUUUUAUUUUUUUUAAAACAUUGAACCACCCUUUUUGAGAACCCAAAAAUUUAUCCAUCUAUCUCUCUUAUUUUCCUUAAAAAAAAUAAAGAGAAAGCUCCCAAAUUUUCACUUAGACCCGCGCCACCUUCAUCGGAGAUCUGGCGCGCCGAGGCCGCCGAUGUCGGGAGUUCAUCGGUAAGUCCCCUCUCUCCCUCUCUUGUUUUUUUUUAAAAACCGUUUGAAAAAAAUUAAAAAGGAAACAAAACAAACGAAAUCCAAAUCAAGAGAAAAUUUCAAAAAAAUAAAAAAUCACCUUUCAAAACUUAGUUCCGAUUCUUGAUUUACUCUUAAAAUUUGUAUAUUCUCUCUCUCUAUUAUCUCCAAAAAAAAAAACCCCCCUUACAAUCUUUUUUUCAUGGCUUUAUAGCCUAUUUUACAACUUAUUUUGCUUGUUUGUAGGUUCAGUCGAGCACGUCUCUGAUGUGGGCUAGUAGAGGAGCGCACGACGCGGAGGGACGAGCGAUGUGCGGUGCUUGGGAACCUCCACGGUUGCGGCGACUGAGGGUGUUAGCUGCUAGGGUUUUCAUUUUCUUUAAUUUUGCUAGGCUGUUAGGGUUGUUUUGGGUUUAAGUUUGAUGGGUUUAGGGUUUGGGUAAUGGUUUGUAUUGCUAAUUGUUUUGGGUUUUAAAUGUAUUGGGCCCUGGGCAUAAAUUGGGCUUAACAGCUGCCCCUCUUUGCUCGUUGUCAUGUAAUGGGGACGAAGAAAAGAUUACAAAGGCCAAUUUUACCCAGUCCUGUCAGAUCUUGGCUUCUUGGUGUAACCUUAUCGCAACCCGCUGCAUCUUAUUGCUUCCAAAUGUUUCCUAGUUGUUUCAUGAAGGUUUGAUUUGUUGGAACUUUAUCUGCUCCGCUCUUGCUCAACGAAGAUAAGAUCUGCAAUUUAGCCUGCUCAAUCCUGCUCAGUGAAGAUAAGGCUGAUGAUUGGAAUCUGCUCCAUCGCCGGUACGUGGAGAUAAGAUUCACCAAAAUUUAAUCUGCUCCGCUCCUGCUCAGCGAAGAUAAGACCUAGUAUUUAGCCUGCUCCACUCCUGCUCAGUGAAGAUAAGGCUGAUGAUUGGAAUCUGCUCCAUCGCCGGUACGUGGAGAUAAGAUUCACCAAAAUUUGAUCUGCUCCGCUCCUGCUCAACGAAGAUAAGACCUAGUAUUUAGCCUGCUCCACUCCUACUCAGUGAAGAUAAGGCUGAUGAUUGGAAUCUGCUCCAUCACCGGUACGUAGAGAUAAGAUUCACCAAAAUUUGAUCUGCUCCGCUCUUGCUCAGCGAAGAUAAGACCUGGUAUUUAGCCUGCUCCACUCCUGCUCAGUGAAGAUAAGGCUGAUGAUUGGAAUCUGCUCCAUCGCCGAUACGUAGAGAUAAGAUUCACCAAAAUUUGAUCUGCUCUGCUCCUGCUCAGCUAAGAUAAGACCUGGUAUUUAGCCUGCUCCACUCCUACUCAGUGAAGAUAAGGCUGAUGAUAUCUGUAAUCCUGCUACAUUGUCCACUGGGGAAUCCAUCUGUAGAAGAGUGAUAUGCUUAUGCUAGACGAUUAGGAUGCCAAAUAUGAAUCAAAUGCUCCUAACUACAUGUAUUAUGGAUGUUAAAUGUAGAAAAUGCAAAAUGUCAUGAGAAUGAUCCAUUUUUACUUUUUGGUUUGUCAUCGUUCAUUGUUUACUAAGGUAACAUGCCUGACAUAUACCUUCUUUGUGGUUAGUCCCUUAUUUCUCACACGUUUCUAGCCCUUUUAAGCUCGGUGAAUUCUAAAUAACUGUCUUGUUUCAGGUUCUCGUAUUGUUUAGAAACCUUUCAGAGUAAUAUGCAAAACCUUCUUUUGAGAGCAUUACUAGUUCAUUAAUCAUUAUUUCAAUGAAAAUACUCGAAAAAGAUUAUAGUGAUAGAUAGAACUGAAAUAUAUUCGAGUCAAAAUUUGAAAAAAAUGUAUCAACAAAGAAAGCAGACAUUGUUUGAGAUACAAAAACGGAUGAAAAGGAAUAGAAUAGGUGCCCCAGAUUUCGCAGUUUGAGCUUCCUUGUACGAACUUCUCGGGGACCCUUUUAAACUUGGCACGCGUUCAAGGGAUCUAUAGCAUUUUGUUGAUGCCCCAAGAUGUAGCUUAUCUCCUCUUUGUCGAUUCAAGUGUAGUGAGACUGCCGUUUGCCCCAGUUUGGAUCGAAAUUUGAAUUACCCUUUGCGGGUUUUCAAUUCAAAACCCCUUUGGUCUCAAGGUGCCUUUUUACGGGUUUUCACCUUGGCCUCUCCCUUCUUCUUCUUUUUUUUUGACUUCCUUUACGGGUUUUCACCUCAACUGCUUCAAGCAAAAUAUCUUUUGACAGAAUCCAAAUUUAUCGGGUUAGGCAAGCUCUUGCCAUCCAUCUCUGCUAGUAUCAAUGCCCCUCCAGAGAAAGCCUUUUUUACCACAUAGGGUCCUUCCCAAUUCGGCAUCCAUUUCCCCCUGAAAUAUUUUUGCAUAGGGAGAAUCUUUUUCAAUACUAAGUCCCCCUCAUGGAACACCCUGGGGCGAACUUUUUUGUUGUUGGCUCGCAUCAUUCUCCUCUGGUACAUUUGACCAUGACGAAUAGCCUUCAGCCUCUUCUCUUCAAUCAAGUUUAGUUUAUCGUAACGAGAUUGGAUCCAUUCUGCUUCAUCUAACUUCAGCUCUGAUAAAACUCGAAGGGAAGGGAUUUCGACCUCAAUAGGUAAAACUGCCUCCAUCCUAUAGACCAAUGAGAAAGGUGUUGCCCCUGUAGAAGUUCUGACAGAUGUCCGAUAAGCAUAAAGGGCAAAUGGGAGCUUUUCAUGCCAAUCUUUGUAAGUCUCCGCCAUCUUCCCCACAAUCUUCUUGAUAUUCUUAUUAGCUGCCUCAACCGCCCCAUUCAUUUUUGGGCGGUAUGGUGAUGAGUUGUGAUGUUUAAUGUUGAACCGACUGCAGACUUCUGCUAUUGCGCUAUUGUUUAGAUUCAACGCGUUGUUAGAUACGAUUCUUUCUGGCAUACCAUAACGACAUAUGACCUCCUUCUUCAGGAACUUGCUGACCGCCGAAUUUGUGACAUUGGCGUACGAAGCAGCCUCUACCCAUUUGGUAAAGUAGUCAAUGACCACAAAAAUGAAUCGAUGUUCGUUGGAAGCCUUUGGCGAAAUUGGCCCAAUGACGUCCAUGCCCCACAUUGAGAAUGGCCAUGGGGAAGUCAUAACAUGGAGGGGUGAAGGAGGCAUAUGGAUCUUGUCUCCAUAAAUUUGAAACUUAUGGCACUUCUUAGUGUAAUUGAUGCAAUCUCCUUCCAUUAUAGACCAGUAAUAUCCGAAUCUCAUGAUUUGUCAAGCCAUUGUGAAACCAUUGGCAUGUGUCUCACAAACACCAUCAUGGACUUCCUCUAGAAUUUUCUUUGCUUCAACAGCGUCAACACAUCUCAACAACACCUGAUCCUUUCUCUUCUUAUAUAGGACCUCACCGUCUAGGACAUAGUCACUGGCUAACCUCCUCAAUGCUCUUUUAUCAUUUUCGGUUGCUUGAUCUGGGUACGCACGGCUCUUCACAUAUUGUAAGAUAUCAUGAUACCAAGGAUGAUCAUCUUUCUCUUCCUCUUCAUUGACAUUAUAGCAGUGAGCUGGAGCCUCACCAAUACUCAUCUGAAUUGGCUUCAUAUUCUCCUGUUCAUUUAAGGUUAUCGGAACAAUGGUUUCGUAACCAUAGAUCCGAUUUAAAGAGAUAUUUAUUUUAAUAUUUUUUCUUGAAAAUUGAUAUGAUAGGAAAAUCGUAUGAAAAUAUUGAUAGAAAAAUUUUACCAAUAUAGUGAUUAGAUAGAAAAAGAAAUUAUUGAAGAAAUUAGGUAAAAACAAGGUAUCGAGACCUCUAUCUCAUAAAACCGAGUCAAAAAUAAUUUUAUAAAUAUUUAUGAAAUGUUAUUAAUGUGGUAUUAAAAUUUCGUUAGGAAAUUUUAAUGUUUGGGUAGUCAAUUAAAUGAAAAGGACUAAAUUGUAAUAAGUGUAAAAGUUGCUAGAGUGAUUAAAUAGCUUAAGAGUCUAAUGAGAAAGGAUUUAAAAGGCAAUUAGACCCAAAAUUUAUUUGGGAUGGACGGCAAGGGUAUGAAAUCAGCAGAAAAAUUGAUAAAUUAAGGGUAAAAUUGGAAUAUUGCAAAAUUAACUAAAUAAAGCUAGGACUAAAUAGGAAAUAUCUAGAUUUCUCUACAUUUCUCUUCAAUUCCAGCAGCUAAAAAUGCCAUAGGAGGGUUCUCUAAGCUGGUAUUUCAUAAUUUUUGCACCAAGUGAGUUAAUCCUUGCCUUUUUCUUGUAAUUUUUGUGUUUCUAAGACUUUUACAACUAGGUCCUACAAUUAAAUUCAUUAGUUUUUGAUUUCAUGGAUGAAAUUGAAAGUCACCAUGGUUGAGUGCUGUAAUUUUAUAAUUAAAUAGAAUGAAAUUAAAGCUUUAAUUUGUUUAUGAGAUGAUUUUAUUAGGUAAUUUCAAUAGAAAUUGAUUUUUAGGACCUAAUUGUGAAAAUGCUUGGAAUUAAAGUCUAUUGCUAAAAUUCUAAUUCCUAAAGGUUGUAAACUAGUUUAAGAUGAUAGAGUAAAAUGUUAAUUGAGAAAAAUCAGCUCAAUUGAGAGGCUAAUUGAGUAGGGACGAAAUUAUCAUUUAUUAAAAGCUUAGGGGAAAAAUGGUAAUAAACAACUUGCACAAAAAACAGUUUGGACAGCAGCAGUAUACUAAAUUUGAAAAAUCACCAUAAAUUUUGGAAAUCGAAUUAGAAGAUAAAAAAAUAUGAAAUUAAAGCUUAUUGAGUCUAGUUUCUCAUAGAAGAAAUAGUGUAAGCAAUGGAUUUGUAAAUUUUGAGAUACAAUGAAUUUUGUGAGACAAGGUCAGAAUGAAUUUGGGUUCCCCUGUUCUGACUUCAAAAAAUCAUAACAAAUUUAAGAAAAACAAUUAUGGGCUUAAAUUUAUAUGUCUAGAAUCCUUAAUGAGUCUAUUUUUAAUAGAAAUAAACAAGAACAUCAUUUGAAUUCUGUAUGAAGAGAUAAUUAAUUUUUAGUGAAGAACGGUCAGAACUGUCGACAGCAGAACAGGGGUGACUUUAAAGAAUAAACUGUAGUUAUUGGCUAAACCAAAAAUUCUGAAAAUUUUAUGGUAAAAAUAUUUAUGAGUCUAGUUUCAGGGAAAAUUAACAGAUCUUAAUUUUGAGUUCCGUAUCUCAAGUUAUAAAUAAUUUAGUGACUAUGACUCAAGUAGACAGCUUUGAAUGAACUAUAAAUAAUAGUUGAAUUAUAGAGAAUGUUGCAUAUGAACAUGAAAUGUAUUAAAUUGAUAAUUAAAUUUAUUUAUUUAGAUCCGGAAGAUUCAAAUACGAAGCUAGAUCGAGAAAAGGAAAAAGUUCGGGAUUAGUAGAUUUUUAUUGUUUACAAACAAGUAUCAAGGUAAGUUCGUGUAACUUGAAUUAUAUUCUUAAAUGCUUGAAAUGCAUGUUUUUGAUAUGAAUAUGAUUUGAAUGUUCAUUGUAUGAAAAUUUAUGAAACAUUGAUAUAUUUGAUAAAAUGGGAAGAAAUCCCGGUUGAAUGAAAGGAAAAUUCGAUGGAUCUCUGAAAAGGAAUUGACGGUAAAAAGGAUCUAGCCCGGACGGGUGAUCCUAUCCUGAUAUAGCCCUCUCGAAGAAUAUGUGUAAAAUGGAUUUAGCCCGGACGGGUAAUUCGAAUUAGGGUCUGAAUUUAGCCUGGACUGGUAAUUCAGAUCCAAGCUCAUUAGAGUAAUUGUCGUUGCAGGGGAUUUAGCCUGGACUGGUAAUCCUGACAAUACUCUAUGAGUUUAUAUUGCAGGGGAUUUAGCCUGGACUGGUAAUCCCGCUGCAAGGUUGAGGUUCGCGGGAGUGUGCUCUCUGAAAUGGAUAUGUGCGCACAUGAAUAUGAAUUGAUGGACCCGGAAUUGUACAAUAAAUGUGUACCUUUGAAAAUCCAUCGAAAUUCCGAUAAAUUCAAUGGGAUAAAUAUGGAAAAAUAAUAAGGAAAUGGAAAUCAUGGUAUUGACGGGCUCAUCAAUCAUGGUAUAUAUAUUAUUGAUACAUGAAAAUUAUUGUACUAACUUGAAUGUUGAGUUUGUGCAUGUUAGGGUAAUAAUGCAUUGAAUGGAUAUAUGAAUGUUUAUUAUAUUGUAUUGAAAAUAUUAGGUAAGUAUAAUUCUUGUUACAUGAGCUUACUAAGCACAAAGUGCUUACCCCGUUUCCUUUUUCCCUGUUUUGUAGUGUUAAGAGCUCGGAGGUCGGAUUUGGUCGGAGACACAUCACACUGUCAACCUCAGGAUUUCGGUAUAUAAAGAAACUUUAUUUUGGAAAUCAAUGGCAUGUAUAAGCUAACAAAGUAAAUGUUAACGUGAAAUGAAUGUAAAGUUAGCCAUUAGUAUGGUUAACAAAUCUGGUUUUAGAUAUGUGAUGACGUUAUCUUAUAAAUAUACAUGAAUUUAUCUUGAAAAUAUGUUGAAUUGAUUUGGUUGAUGUGGAUUGGUCUCGAUUUAAUAUUGCAGGGAAGGUUAGAUAUUUAUAAAGGGAUUAUAUAUAAUAUAAAAAAAUUAAUUCAUAAACUCCAGUAAUGCCUCGUACCCUAUUCCGGUAAUGAAUACGGGUAGGGGUAUUACAAGUGUAGCCAAGGCGUCAACCAUCUAAUUCUCGUCUCGCGGGAGGUAAUGAAAGGUAAUAUCAUCAAACUCUUUAAUUAAUUCCCGGAUUAACUUUCGGUAACUGAUCAAUUUGGGAUCUCUCGUUUCCCACUCGCCUUUAAGCUGAUAAAUUACCAAUGCAGAAUCUCCAUAUACUUCUAAUACUUUGAUUUCGCGGUCUAUAGCUGUCCGAAUUCCCAUGAUACAUGCCUCGUAUUCUGCCAUGUUAUUUGUACAGUCAAAAUCCAGCUUGCAAGUGAAAGGAUAAUGAUAUACAUUCGGGGAUAUCAGUACUGCCCCAACUCCAUUUCCAACGGCAUUUGAUGCUCCGUCAAAAUUUAAUUUCCAAGAAUGAUCUUCAGGCAUGUCUCCUUCAGCGAUUGCUACAUACAUUAGAUCUUCAUUGGGGAAAUUGAAAUUCAAAGGUUCAUAGUCCUCUUAAGCUCUACUAGCUAGGAAAUCUGCUAUUGCACUCCCCUUCACAGCUUUUUGGUUUACAUAGACUAUGUCAAAUUCGAAGAGCAGAAUUUGCCAUCGGGUCAUCCUUCCAUUUAAAGCGGUUGACUCCAUCAUGUAUUUGAGAGGGUCUAACUUUGAGAUUAGCCAAGUUGUAUGGUACAACAUGUAUUGCCUUAACCUUCGUGUUGUCCAAACCAAACCAAAGCACAGCAUAGCUUCUCAAUUGGCGGAUACCUCAUUUUACAUUCAGUGAAUUUUUUACUGAGGUAAUAUAUCGCUCUUUCUUUUCUCCCAGUCUCAUCGUGUUGGCCGAGCACACACCCCAUCGAAUUAUCAAAUACUGUUAAGUACAGUAUCAAUGGUCUACCAGGGCUUGGUGGUGUUAGCACUGGGGGACUGGACAAAUAUUGUUUAACCAUUUCAAAGGUUUUUUGGCAUUCAUCAUCCCAUACCCUAGGAUUGUGCUUUUUAAGAAGACGGAAUAUGGGGUCACACUUCUCCGUCAGUUGCGAAAUAAACCGUGCGAUGUAGUUUAGUCUCCCUAGGAAACCUCAGACUUCUUUCUGAGUUUGUGGCGGAGGCAGCUCCUGUAUAGCCUUGACUUUAUCAAGGUUGACUUCUAUUCCCUUCUCACUGACUACGAAGCUGAGUAACUUUCCGGACCUAGCUCCGAAGGUGCAUUUUGAUGGAUUGAGCUUUAAUUGGAAUUUUCUCAACCUCAGGAAUAAUUUUCUCAACACUCGCACAUGCUCCUUGUAAUGACCCAAAAUUCACGGGCAUCGUAAAAGUACAUUAACAGGCCUCCGUCUUAGUAAAUCGAGUUCAAAAUAAUUACUAGAAAUAUUUAUGAGUUUAGCGAUGUGUUUAAUUAGGUUUAAAUUAGGUGAAUUUUGCUUAAUUAAGAGUAAUUAGGAAAAAUGACUAAAUUGAAUAAAGGAUGAAAGUUAAAUUGUAGAUUAAAAGAAAAUGAAGAGGACCAAAAUGACAAUUAUGCCAUUUGUCCUAAGUGAGGCGGCAUAAACAUAAAAAUCUGAGAUUUUUAUGUGUUAAAAUAUAUAUUAAAUUAUUAUUAUUAAAAGUAAAGUAAAUAAAAAGGAAAUAAAGGAAAGAAAUAAAAGAAUAAAAAAGAAGGAAGGAAACAGAAUAGCAGGAAACGAAACAGAGAAGAAACAGGGGAGAAAGAAAGAAAGAAAAGAAAAAGGGAAAAUAGAGUUUUAAAGGUUCCAAGUUAAUUUGGUAAGUCAAUUUAGCCCCUUUUCUUAUGAUUUUUGAGUUUUUGGAAUCCUAGAGAUAAAUAGUACUUGUUUUAAGUAGAAAUUUUGAAAGUCAUUAGAUUUUUAAGUUUGGUUCAUGUUGAAUAAAAUGAUGGAAUUGGGGGUUUAUUUGAUAGAAAGUUUGAUUGGAAUUGAAUAAAGGAUUGAAUCGUAAACUAAGCUAUAAGUUUUGAGUUUUAGGGAUUAAAUGGAAAUAAAUUCGAAAUUAGGAAAAUAUGUUGAAAAUUUAAUAGCUAAAUUGAGUUUAAAUGAAAUUUGAAUAGAAAUAAAAUGUGAAUUGGUGUUGUAAAUUUAGUUAUUAACAUUUUUCACAAAACAGUUUUGGGCAGUGGUAGUGUUCUGAUUUUGAAAAUUCACAAAAAAAUGAAUAAAUAGAACUAGAUAAUGAAAAAAAAUAUGGAAUUAAAUCUUAUUGAGUCUACUUUCUUAUAGAAUAAACGGUGUAAGCAACGGAAUUUUAGAUCAUGAGAGAGACAAGGUCAGAAUGAAUUCGGAUUCCCCUGUUCUAACUUUGAAAAAUCAUUAAAAAUUGUAUAAAACUAAUUAUAGGUUGAAAUUUAUAUGUUUAAAAUCCUUAUUGAACCUAUUUUCAAUAUAAUUAAACAGGAACAUCGUUCGAAUCUUGUACAGGGAGAUAAUCAAUUUUUAGUAAAAAAUGGUCAAAACUGUUUGACAGCAGAACAGGGGCAACUUUAAAGAAUAAACUGUACUUAUUGGCUGAACCAAAAAUUUUAAAAAUUUUAUGGUAAGAAUAUAUGUGAGUUUAGUUUCAGGGAAAAUUAGUGGAUCUUAAUUUGGAGCUUCCUAGCUCAAGAUAUAAAUGAUUUAGUAACAACGACUCAAGUAGACAACUUUGAAUGAACAUAUAAGUAAAUAGUGGAAUUAUGUGUAUAAAAAUGGUUAAAUUUGCAUGUUUAGGCUCAUGGAUUAAAUUGAAUUAUGUUACAUUGAUGAUUAUAAAUUAUUAUUAUUUUCGUAGUUAACAAAGAACCCAAGACAUCGGCGCACAAAGAAAAGGAGAAAGCUAUCAAGGAUUAAAACGAGAAAUUCACGGUUUGUAUUACUAUAAUUCAAAUUACUUUUUAUUAAAUGUUUUAUAUCAAUUCUAUAUUUAAUAAGUGAAUUAUAAGGUAAGUAUUGAUAUUUGAGUUGAAUGAGAAUUGAAUUGAAUGGUGAAUGUGUAUGUAUAAUUGAAUUGUAAAUUGAUUUGAAUGUGAAAAUUUUAAUUGAAAAGUAAUCUUGGAAUGGAAAUGAAAGUGAAUUGAGAAUUGAAAUACCCUAUUAACUAGUCGGGCUAAGUCGGAUAUAAUUGGCAUGCCAUAGGAUCUGGAAGUGUACGGGAAUUUGCCGGCUUUACUGAUCAGGCACUUUAUGUGUCGUAUUUCAAGCACCUCGUGUGUCGUACCAGGCACCUCGAGUGUCGUUUUAGGCACUUUAUGUGUCGUAUACUGAUCAGGUACUAUGUACCGUUUUAGGCACAAUGUGCCGUACUGGUGUGUUGGGUUGGAAUCCGUGUAUCCGUCAAAGUCCGGAUUUGUUAAUAGGGUGAAUAUCUAAAAUGAGAAAUUUAAAAUAAAUUGAUUGAUUAUAUUAUUGAAAUAUUGAAAGAAAUGAAAAAGUUGAAUAGUGGUUUGAAAUUGAGAUUGAAAAUGAAAGGCAUGAACUUAAUGUUCAUGUAGUGAUUGAAAUUGUUACAUGUAAUAUGUGAUGGAAACUGAAGAAUAGAUAAAACUUGUAUCGUUAUUAUUAAUUAAUGAAAGUUUAAGAAUGAAUUGAUAUUUGUGAAAUUAGAUAGUUACAUGUUUGGUAAUUAAAAUUCUUUAUUGCUAUUAUAAUUUGAACUAUGGUAAUACCACUGAGUACGGAAUACUCAGCGUGCGGUUGUUUCCGUGCGCAGGUUAAUAGGAGUCUAGUACCCCGGUCCAGCAUCUGAACGAUCCCGACUCCAGCAAAUUUUGGGUGAUGUUUUCUUUCUUAAUUGAAAGUGGCAUGUACUAGGUGUUGUAUAAGUUAUAUAGAUAUACUUGUAAUGUUGGUUAUAAGAAUGGUAUACCAUAUUUUGUUAUUAGUUUGAUAAAAUGGUAAAUAUUAUAUUAUAUAAUUUGGUAUAAGUUGGAAUGAAAAAUGAAUGAAGUUAUUAGUUAAUUUGGAUUAAUAUUAUGAAUGUUUAGUUAUUAAAUGACUAUGUUAAUGAAUUGGUUAUGAUUUAGAUAUAUUUAGGUUUAAAUUGUUUUUGAUUGUGCCAUUGAUUUUGGAUUAGUUGGUUUUUGGUUUGAAUUUGCAGGGGUUUUAUGUAAAAAUUAAGAAGAAAUGCUGUCGAAAUUUUUGUAAAAAUAAAAAUCAAAAUAAAAAAAAUCUCUGAAUACUCGAACAAGUCCCAUUCCAUUCCACUUUAAUACUUGUGUUGGGCUUCGAAAGUCCAUUAUAGGGACAUAAUUCUUCAAUUAUACUAUGAAUGUUAUAAUAAUUGUAAAAUAUCCAUAAGUUGUCUGAUAUAUCCGGUAAUGCCUCAUAGCCCUGUUCCAGCGACGGUUUGGGGUUAGGGGGUGUUACAUUUGUUGGUAUCAGAGCUAUCAAGUUUAGCUGAUUUUCAGGCUAUAUUGAGCUCGAAAUUGAGUCUAGAAGUAUAUGCCACUUUUGAGUCGAAAUUGAGUCGGGAUUUUUGGAUGCUGAUCUAUUUAUUUGUUUUGUUUUAUAGAUUAAAGAUGUCGGAUGAAAGAAUAAAUGAUACUGAUGAAGAAAUGCAUACUGGAGAAGAAUAAUCUUACGGGUUAGAUGAAACUGAAUCGGUAACACCUAGUAUUAGCCCGAUGAGAAACCAACCUCCUAGAGCAGAAAGAAGAAAUGAUAGAGAUGAUUCUGAUACAAAUAGAAAAAUUGCUGAUGCACUACAAAGAAUAGUGGAAAUUGUUCCUGCUAUGACUUCAGUUCCAAUUCAAAGACGAGCCCCGAUAAAGGAAUUGAGAAAGUAUGGUGCUAAUGAAUUUAUAGGUCUGAAAGGAGUUGAUCCAUCUGUAGCUGAAAAUUGGAUGGAGUCGAUUAAAAGAAUUUUAUGACAAUUAGAUUGUACCCCCCGAGAGUGUUUGAUUUGUGUUGUAUCGUUGUUACAAGAAGAAGCUUACUUAUGGUGGGAAUCAAUGGUUCGACAUUUACCAGAGAAUCAGAUAACUUGGGAUCUAUUUCAGAAAGAGUUUCAAAAGAAAUAUAUCAGAGAAAUGUACAUCGAAGACAAGAAACGAGAGUUUUUGACGUUACAACAGGGUGACAUGUCAGUAAUAAACUAUGAGAGGGAAUUCUCGAGACUCAGUAGAUAGGCCUCAGAGUUUAUUCCAACUGAAGCUGAUAGUUGUAAGAGAUUUUUACGGGGUCUACGAGAUGAGAUCAAAUUACAGUUGGUAUAUCAACGUAUUGCUGAAAUGGUAGACUUGAUUGAGCGAGCUAAAAUGGUAGAACAAGUGUUGGGCUUUAAUAAAAAGACUCAAAGUGUUAGACCAGCUGGGAAGCGUACGGGAACUACCAGUUGGAACCCUCAGCCGAAAAGACCAAAAGAAUCUUAGAGUGGUUGGAGAUUCAAUUUUAGAUCAGACAGAGGUGGAAAAAGCCAGGGAAAACAGACGACGGUAUCUACUGGUAGUCUACGAGGUCCACCUCGAGAUGUGGACAUUCCAGAAUGUGGACAUUAUGGAAAGAGACAUUUGGGUGAAUGUUGGAAAGUGACCGGAGGUUGUUUCCAUUGUGGGUCGACGGAACAUUUUGUUAAAGACUGUCUGAAGAAUAAAAAUGAUACUCCUGUCACAUCACAAAAAUCAGUAUCUACUGCUCGAGGCAGAGGUCUAGGUAGAGGUAGUUCAGUUGCCAGAGGAGGAACUGGUAGAAGGAGCAAUGAUAUUAUUACUCAGCAGUCUGAAGCCAGAAUACCAGCUAGAGCUUAUGUGGUCAAAACUCGUGAAGAAGGCGAUGCCCACGAUGUGGUAACAGGUAUAUUUUUAUUGUAUUCUGAGCCUGUUUAUGCUUUAAUUGAUCCUGGAUCUUCAUAUUCUUACAUUAUUUCGAAUUUAGUUGAGUUGAGAAAAUUAAAAUUCGAAAUGUCUAGAGUGUCUAUUGAGGUGUCGAGUCCGUUGGGGCAAACAAUGUUAGUGAAUCAAGUCUGUCUAAGAUGCCCGUUGAUUAUACAGAAUAAAACUUUUCUGGUUGACUUGUUAAUUAUGCCAUUUGGGGACUUUGAUAUAAUUUUGGGCAUGGAUUGGUUAUCCGAAUAUGGGGUGAUUUUAGAUUGUUACAAAAAGAGGUUCAGUAUUCAGACAGAGGAUGGGGAUAGAGUUGGAGUAAGUGGCAUCCGUACCAGUGGUCCGACACGCAUCAUUUCGAUAAUGAAAGCUAAUAAAUUGCUUCAGCAGGGUUGUUCAGCAUAUUUGGCAUAUGUUAUUAAUUCUGAUUCAGUUGGAAGUCAGUGUAGUCAGAUCAGGACCGUAUGUGAGUUUUCAGAUGUAUUUCUUGAAGAAUUGCCGGGCUUACCACCUUACAGAGAGGUUGAAUUUGCUAUUGAAGUGUAUCCGGGUACAGCACCAAUCUCUAUACCUCCAUAUCGAAUGUCGCCCACUGAGUUGAAAGAGUUGAAGGUGCAGUUACAGGAUUUACUAGAUCGUGGAUUUAUUAGACCAAGCAUUUCACCCUGGGGAGCUCCAGUGUUGUUUGUUAAAAAGAAAGAUGGUUCCAUGCGGUUAUGCAUUGAUUAUCGACAGUUGAAUAAAGUGACAAUCAAGAAUCGAUAUCCGUUGCCUUGUAUAGAUGAUUUGUUUGAUCAACUUAAGGGAGCUUCAGUAUUUUCAAAAAUUGAUUUGAGAUUCGGGUAUUAUCAGCUAAAGGUGAAGGAAAGUGAUGUGCCUAAGACUGCCUUUCGUACUCGUUAUGGCCAUUAUGAAUUUUUAGUGAUGCCGUUUGGGUUGACCAAUGCCCCAACUGCUUUCAUGGAUUUGAUGAACCGCAUUUUUCAGCCGUAUUUAGAUCAGUUUGUGGUGAUUUUUAUUGAUGAUAUAUUGGUAUAUUCGAAGACAGAAGCAGAACAUGAUCAGCAUCUUCGAAUAGUUCUACAGAUUUUACGAGAGAAACAGUUGUAUGGAAAGCUCAGUCAAUGUGAAUUCUGGUUAUCAGAGGUUGUAUUUCUGGGACAUGUAGUAUCUACAGACGGAAUUCGGGUUGAUCCAAAGAAAAUUGAAGCGAUUGUCUAAUGGAAACCACCCAAGAAUGUAUCAGAGGUACGCAAUUUUCUCGGUUUAGCUGGGUAUUACAGGAGGUUUGUAAAUGGAUUCUCAAAGAUAGCACUACCAAUGACUAAACUACUGCAAAAGAAUGUUCCUUUUAUCUGGGAUGACCAAUGCCAGAAGUGUUUUGAGACUUUGAAGCAAAUGUUGACAGAGGCACCGGUAUUAACAUUACCAGAGUCGGGAAAAGAUUUUGUCGUGUAUAGUGAUGCUUCUCUAAGCGGUCUGGGUUGUGUAUUGAUGCAAGAUGGGAAGGUCAUAGCUUAUGCAUCUCGACAAUUAAAACCACAUGAACGUAAUUACCCGACGCACGACUUGGAGCUAGCUGCAGUAAUUUUUGCUUUAAAGAUUUGGAGGCAUUACCUAUAUGGUGAAAAAUGCUACAUUUACACGGAUCACAAAAGUCUUAAAUAUCUUCUGUCGCAGAAGGAGUUGAAUUUAAGACAGAGACGGUGGAUCGAACUUCUGAAAGAUUAUGAUUGUAUUAUAGAUUACCACCCGGGAAAGGCGAACGUGGUAGCUGAUGCAUUGAGUAGAAAAGCAGUGGGGGAAUUAAGGGCAAUAUUUGCUCGACUUAGUAUUAAUGAUGAUGGAAGCUUGCUAGCUGAAUUAAGGGUUAAGCCGAUGAUGUUUGAUCAUAUUAGAGCAGCUCAGAUGAAAGAUGAUAGACUAUUGAAGAAAAGAGAAAUGGUUCAGAAUGGUACAACCAAGAGUUUUAGUAUUGACGGGCAUGAUUGUUUGAGGUUUUAAAAUCGAGUUUGUGUUCCAGCUACUUCUGAACUAAAAGAGUUAAUUCUUCGAGAAGCACAUGAUAGUGCUUUUGCUUUGCACCCUGGUGGAACAAAGAUGUAUUGUGAUUUACGAGAAUUAUAUUGGUGGCCUGGAAUGAAAAGGGACAUAGUUGAAUAUGUUAGUAAAUGUUUGACAUGUCAGCGAGUAAAGGCAGAACAUCAAGUUCCUACUGGAUUAUUUCAGCCUAUUAGCAUUCCUGAGUGGAAAUUGGAUCGUAUUACAAUGGAUUUUGUUACAGGAUUGCCAUUGUCAGCAAGUAAAAAGAAUGUUAUUUGGGUAAUUGUUGAUCGGCUUACAAAAUCAGCUCACUUUAUAGCUGUUAGAACAGAUUGGUCAUUGCAGAAGCUUGCAGAAGUGUAUAUUCGAGAAAUUGUUAGAUUACAUGGUAUUCCGGUGUCAAUAAUCUCAGAUCGAGAUCCUCGGUUCACAUCGAGAUUUUGGAGACAGCUACAUGAAUCAUUGGGUACUCGACUUAACUUUAGUACGGCUUUUCAUCCGCAAACAGAUGGACAGUCCGAACGGGUAAUACAGAUAUUAGAAGAUAUGCUUCGGGCUUGUAUCAUUGAUUUUGAAUCAGGUUGGGAACGUUAUUUGCCAUUAGCUGAAUUUGUCUAUAACAAUAGUUUCCAAUCUAGUAUUCAAAUGGCUCCGUAGAAAGCAUUAUAUGGUCGAAGGUGUCGAUCACCGGUAUGUUGGACAGAAUUGAAUGAAAGAAAAAUGAUUGGGCCAGAAUUGAUUCAAGAAACAGAAGAAACAGUUAAGAAGAUUAAAGAUAGAUUGAAAGCAGCUUUUGAUAGGCAGAAAUCAUAUGCAGACUUGAAACAGCGAGACAUUGAAUAUUCUGUUGGUAAUAAAGUAUUCCUCAAAGUAUCACCUUGGAAGAAAGUUUUGAGAUUUGGCCGAAAGGGUAAGUUAAGUCCACGUUUUAUUGGGUCGUAUGAGGUUGUGGAAAGAAUUGGGCCUGUUGCCUAUCGACUAGCUUUACCUCCAGAAUUACAAAAAAUUCAUGAUGUUUUUCAUGUUUCGAUGCUUCGGAGAUAUAGAUCAGAUCCUUCCCACAUUAUUCCUACUAAAAAUAUUCAAAUUCGGUCUGAUUUGACUUAUGAAGAAGAGCCGGUUCAGAUAUUAGCUCGAUAAGUAAAAGAGCUGAGAAAUAAACGGGUCCCUCUAGUAAAAGUGUUAUGGAGGAGUCAUAGUAUGGAAGAAGCGACUUGGGAACCGGAAGAAACGAUGAGAGCACAAUAUCCUCAUCUAUUCUUAGGUAAAUUUCGAGGACGAAAUUUAUUAAGGGGGAAGAAAUGUAAUGACCCAAAAUUCACGGGUAUUGGAAAAGAACAUUAACAGGCAUCCGUCUUAGUAAAUUGAGUUCAAAAUAAUUACUAGAAAUAUUUAUGAGUUUAGCGAUGCGUUUAAUUAGGUUUAAAUUAGGUGAAUUUAGCUUAAUUAAGAGUAAUUAGGAAAAAUGACUAAAUUGAAUAAAGGAUGAAAGUUAAAUUGUAGAUUAAAAGAAAAUGAAGAGGACCAAAAUGGCAAUUAUGCCAUUUGUCCUAAGUGAGGCGGCAUAAACAUAAAAAUCUGAGAUUUUUAUGUGUUAAAAUAUAUAUUAAAUUAUUAUUAUUAAAAGUAAAGUAAAUAAAAAGGAAAUAAAUGAAAGAAACAAAAGAAUAAAAAAGAAGGAAUGAAACAGGAUAGCAGGAAACGAAACAGAGAAGAAACAGGGGAGAAAGAAAGAAAGAAAGAAAAGAAAAAGGGAAAAUAGGGUUUUAAAGGUUCCAAGUUAAUUUGGUAAGUCAAUUUAGCCCAUUUUCUUAUGAUUUUUGAGUUUUUGGAAUCCUAGAGAUAAAUAGUACUUGUUUUAAGUAGAAAUUUUGAAAGUCAUUAGAUUUCUAAGUUUGGUUCAUGUUGAAUAAAAUGAUGGAAUUGGGGGUUUAUUUGAUAGAAAUUUUGAUUGGAAUUGAAUAAAGGAUUGAAUCGUAAACUAAGCUAUAAGUUUUGAGUUUUAGGGAUUAAAUGGAAAUAAAUUUGAAAUUAGGAAAAUAUGUUGAAAAUUUAAUAGCUAAAUUGAGUUUAAAUGAAAUUUGAAUAGAAAUAAAGUGUGAAUUGGUGUUGUAAAUUUGGUUAUUAACAUUUUUCACAAAACAAUUUUGCGCAGUGGUAGUGUUCUGAUUUUGAAAAUUCACAAAAAAAUGAAUAAAUAGAACUACAUAAUGAAAAAAAAUAUGGAAUUAAAGCUUAUUGAGUCUAGUUUCUUAUAGAAUAAACGGUGUAAGCAACGAAAUUUUAGAUCAUGAGAGAGACAAGGUCAGAAUGAAUUCGGAUUCCCCUGUUCUAACUUUGAAAAAUCAUUAAAAAUUGUAUAAAACUAAUUAUAGGUUGGAAUUUAUAUGUUUAAAAUCCUUAUUGAACCUAUUUUCAAGAUAAUUAAACGGGAACAUCGUUCGAAUCUUGUACAAGGAGAUAACCAAUUUUUAGUGAAAAAUGGUCAGAACUAUUUGACAGCAGAACAGGGGCAACUUUAAAGAAUAAACUGUACUUAUUGGCUAAACGAAAAAUUCUAAAAAUUUUAUGGUAAGAAGAUAUGUUAGUCUAGUUUCAGGGAAAAUUAGUGGAUCUUAAUUUGGAGUUUCCUAGCUCAAGAUAUAAAUGAUUUAGUAACAAUGACUCAAGUAGACAGCUUUGAAUGAACAUAUAAGUAAAUAGUGGAAUUAUGUGUAUAAAAAUGGUUAAAUUUGCAUGUUUAGGCUCAUGGAUUAAAUUGAAUUGUGUUAUAUUGAUGAUUAUAAAUUAUUAUUAUUUUCGUAGUUAACAAAGAACCCAAGACAUCGGCGCACAAAGGAAAGGAGAAAGCUAUCGAGGAUUAAAACGAGAAAUUCACGGUUUGUAUUACUGUAAUUCAAAUUACUUUUUAUUAAAUGUUUUAUAUCAAUUCUAUAUUUAAUAAGUGAAUUAUAAGGUAAGUAUUGAUAUUUGAGUUGAAUGAGAAUUGAAUUGAAUGGUGAAUGUGUAUGUAUAAUUGAAUUGUAAAUUGAUUUGAAUGUGAAAAUUUUAAUUGAAAAGUAAUCUUGGAAUGGAAAUGAAAGUGAAUUGAGAAUUGAAAUACCCUAUUAACUAGUCGGGCUAAGUCGGAUAUAAUUGGCAUGCCAUAGGAUCUGGAAGUGUACGGGAAUUUGCCGGCUUUACUGAUCAGGCACUUUAUGUGGCCUAUUUCAGGCACCUCGUGUGUCGUAUCAGGCACCUCGUGUGUCGUUUUAGGCACUUUAUGUGUCGUAUACUGAUCAGGUACUAUGUACCGUUUUAGGCACAAUGUGCCGUACUGGUGUGUUGGGUUGGAAUCCGUGUAUCCGUCAAAGUCCGGAUUUGUUAAUAGGGUGAAUAUCUAAAAUGAGAAAUUUAAAAUAAAUUGAUUGAUUAUAUUAUUGAAAUAUUGAAAGAAAUGAAAAAGUUGAAUAGUGGUUUGAAAUUGAGAUUGAAAAUGAAAGGCAUGAACUUAAUGUUCAUGUAGUGAUUGAAAUUGUUACAUGUAAUAUGUGAUGGAAACUGAAGAAUAAAUAAAAAUUGUAUCGUUAUUAUUAAUUAAUGAAAGUUCAAGAAUGAAUUGAUAUUUGUGAAAUUAGAUAGUUACAUGUUUGGUAAUUAAAAUUCUUUAUUGCUAUUAUAAUUUGAAUUAUGGUAAUACCACUGAGUACGGAAUACUCAGCGUGUGGUUGUUUCCGUGCGCAAGUUAAUAGGAGUCUAGUACCCCGGUCCAGCAUCUGAACGAUCCCGACUUCAGCAAAUUUUGGGUGAUGUUUUCUUUCUUAAUUGAAAGUGGCAUGUACUAGGUGUUGUAUAAGUUAUAUAGAUAUACUUGUAAUGUUGGUUAUAAGAAUGGUAUACCACAUUUUGUUAUUAGUUUGAUAAAAUGGUAAAUAUUAUAUUAUAUAAUUUGGUAUAAGUUGGAAUGAAAAAUGAAUGAAGUUAUUAGUUAAUUUGGAUCAAUAUGAUGAAUGUUUAGUUAUUAAAUGACUAUGUUAAUGAAUUGGUUAUGAUUUAGAUAUAUUUAGGUUUAAAUUGUUUUUGAUUGUGCCAUUGAUUUUGGAUUAGUUGGUUUUUGGUUUGAAUUUGCAGGGGGUUUUAUGUAAAAAUUAAGAAGAAAUGCUGUCGAAAUUUUUGUAAAAAUAAAAUAAAAAUAAAAAAAAUCUCUGAAUACUCGAACAAGUCCCGUUCCAUUCCACUUUAAUACUUGUGUUGGGCUUCGAAAGUCCAUUAUAGAGACAUAAUUCUUCAAUUAUACUAUGAAUGUUAUAAUAAUUGUAAAAUAUCCAUAAGUUGACUGAUAUAUCCGGUAAUGCCUCGUAGCCCUGUUUCGGCGACGAUUUGGGGUUAGGGGCUGUUACACUCCUCUUCAGUUCGGGAUUUUGCAAUCAUGUCGUCAACGUAAACCUCAAUUUCCUUGUGCAUCAUGUCAUGGAACAAGGUUACCAUGGCUCUUUGGUAUGUGGCUCCUGCAUUUUUCAACCCAAAGGGCAUUACCUUAUAGCAAAACGUUCCCCAUAAAGUUAUGAAUCUGGUUUUCUCCAUGUCCUCAGUAUGCAUCUUGAUCUGAUUGUACCCGGAGAACCCAUCCAUGAAGGAGAACAACGAAUAGCCUGCCGUAUUAUCCACUAGAGUGUCUAUGUGAAGCAAUGGAAAGUUAUCCUUUGGGCUGGCCAUAUUUAAAUCUCUGCAAUCUACACACAUCCGCACUUUCCCAUCUUUCUUUGGGACAGGGACGAUGUUGGCCACCCACUCUGAGUAAUUAACCACCUGUAAGAAGCCAGCAUCAAACUGUUUCUUGACUUCUUCUUUUAUUUUCAUUGCUACAUCGGGUCUCAUCCUUCGGAGCUUCUGCUAAACUGGCUUGUACUCCUUUUUUGUAGGGACACGGUGCACUGCGAUAUCGGUACUUAGGCCAGCAUAUCCUGGUAUGACCAUGCAAAGACGUCCUUGAAUUCUUGCAACAGCUCAAUGAGGUUUUGUCUUGUUUUCUCGUUAACGCAAGUGCCAAUUUUAACUUCCUUCCCCUCUUCCGGGGCCACAAUCUCAAUAGUCUCUUUGUGUGGCAAGAUCUGUUCCUCUUCUCACUCUACCUUCCUUAACAAAUCGGGAGAUAAACCACAAUCCUCGUCCUCUUUAAAAUCCUGAAAUCCCUCAAAGCACAUGUCUCACUCAAAAGGAGAUUCCGGGCUCGCAUUAGCAUUACUCAUGACGUUGACAUCCAGAAGCCUAUUAUGAGUAUAAGAGAAUACCCAAAGAAAACGAAAUGAAUAAUUCCUUUGUAUGGUAUGAUUGUGUAUGAAAUGAAAAAGAAGAAAGGAUAAUUGCUCGAACUGAUAUAUGAAAAUGCAUUUUUUAUUGAAAAUAAUAAUGUUUGAACAUGAGCCUAUUUCACAAAAGAUUCUUAUUGUCCCUAGGCUAGAAGACAACAAGUGGGUUUUGAAUAUUACUCUGUGUUAGCUCUAAAGAUUACAGGAAUUUCUUCCUCAGUCCAGUUAUCCAAAACACUCCCAGGCUCAUACGGGCAAAUGCCUGAUAAAUUUCUCUCCAUUACUUCCUUUUCAAACGUAGCGUUGAUGUUCCAAAUUCCCAUCACAUCCUUGACCAUUCCUUCUUUUAUCCUCUCCUGUGCAGAAUGAAUAAACCCUUCAGAUACAAAUGUUUGGGAAAUGUGGGGGAAGCUCAUCGGUUCCCACCUGACUUCUGUCCCACUCAAUCUUGCUCUCUGCUGUUCUUGUUUCCUUUCAAACUCCUUCUUCACUUGGCGUGCAUCUAGCCUUAACCCCAAACCGAAGCGAUCCCACUUACCAACCAAGACUGGUACUCUAACUUGUCCACGGAGGUGCCUCCUGAGUCCUCUGCCAAAUAACGCCCCUUUCCCAACUGUCAGCUGCAGGCUCAUUUUCGUAGCCCCUGAUAUCUUAUAUAUCGGAAUCCUGCUUCAUUCAGCUAUAAACGUUACGUUUACAAACUCUAACGAUCGAAAUGAACAUUCAACCGCUUUGUUGUCAUUCUUUACGUAGGGUGCAUCACUGGUAACUGAUGCAAUAAUGUCCUCCUCUGUAUUUAUUGUUAUUAGCCGACCCUCAGUAACCAUCUUUAGCUUUUGGUGCAGCGAGGAUGGCACUGCUCCAGCUGAGUGAAUCCAAUAUCUUCUUAAUAGACAGUUAUAGGAAGGCUUAAUGUCCAUCACGAGGAAAUCUACCCCGUACGCGUUUGGGCUAAUCUGGAGAGGUAUCUCUAUCCUUCCCAUCACUUUCCUUUCUGUACCGUCAAACGCUCUCACUAUGUUCUGACAUGUCUUCAUGUGGGAGCUGUCUAUAGGUAAACGGUUUAAUGUAGACCAAGGCAAUACGUUUAAUGCGGACCCAUUAUCGACCAGUACUCCAAGUAGUGUAUACCCCUUGUAACGUGUAGUGAUAUGCAGAGCCUUAGUAGACCCCCUACCCCCUGGCGGUAUCUCAUCAUCGCUGAAGAAGAUGAAAUUGUCAGCACUUAUGUUGCCGACAAAACGAUUCAAUUUGUUAACCGAAAUGUCAUCCGCAAUAUAGGUUUCAUUCAACACUUUCAUCAAUGCGUUGCGGUGGACCUCCGAAUUUAACAGCAGAGCCAAUAUCGAUAUGCGAUCCGGUUGUUGGUGUAGUUGUUCCACAACACUAUACUCGCUGUGUCUUAGGAACUUCAAGAACUCAUUGGCUUCAUUUUCCAUUACUGGCUCAUUAACCAGUGGUUCUGAUCUCUCGACUUCUUGCUUGAGCAUUAUGGGUUUUCCUUUUGCUGGUUCGGCUUCUGUGUUAAGCGUGUCAAUCGAACCCUCCUUCUCUGAAACUGCUAUACUACAGUUAUAAUUCCAAGGCACCCUACGACUAUCUUUAUAAGGGGGAGCCGUUGGCUUCUGGAUUACAACUCUUGGUGUGAUUCUUGCUUCUACUGCACUAACUCUGGGCAUCGAAAUAAUUAUCACUAGACGGCUGGCUCUGCAGCCUUCUUCACUUGACUCUCCUCCUAGAGAGCAUACAUAUUUUUUUUUCGACAGACUCGAGGAACUCCAAUUCCUUAUUAUCCAUUAGACCCUGUACUAGGGCCCUAAACUCAAUACAAUUCUGGAUUUCGUGAUCUUUCUCAUAAUGGAACUCACAGUAGUUCCGUGUAUCUUGGCUUUUAUUCCCCAACCCCUGCGGGACUAAACCUCUCUUCUGCAUUUCCUUCCAAACAAGCUUCAAUGGGGUUCUCACAUCCGCGAUAUUCAGCUUGGCUUUCCUCCUCACAUUAAUUAUCGCGUUUACCUCUUUAUCAGUGUGACUGGGCAACAGAUUUCCCGUACUAGGUGUAUCAUCGAAUUUUACAACACCUGCUUUGAUAAGCCUUUCUACGCACCUUUUGAACGAGGUACAGUUUUCUAUCGAGUGCCCCGUAAUCCCUGCGUGGUAUUCGCACUGAGCAUUUGUAUCAUACCAUUUAGGGUAUGGGGGUUGUAACAGUUCUAAGUGGAAAGGGGCCACUACGUGUGCAUCGAACAGCUUUUUGUACAGCUCCCUAUACGUCACUGGUAUAGGGGUGAACUGAAACCUCUCUAUAUUCUGCCUUAUGUUAGGCUCUCGCCUUGGUGUGGCUUGCUGGCCUGUGACUAUCAUUCUCGAUUGAUUAACGGUGACAGGUUUUGAAUAGCCUGAGCUCACGUUGUUUACCUCGUUUUCUUUUUUCUUCGGGGCUAACCUUCUCGUGCUUUCCCCUGUUUCUAUCUUCCCGCACCUUAUUGCAUUUUCUAUCAUUUCAUCAGACAUCACUAUGUCUGCGAAACUCUUAGUUGCGCUCCCCAACAUAUGAUUAAUAAAAGGUGCCUUCAAGGUAUUAAUAAACAGCAUGAUUGUUUCCUUUUCCAGUAACGGUGGUUGGACCUGUGUAGCGACCUCUCUCCAUCUCUGAGCAUACUGCCGGAAGCUUUCACUUGGCUUCUUCUCCAAAUUCUGGAGUGUGAUCCGGUCAAGUGCUAUAUCCGUUAUAUGGCCGUACUGCUUCAUGAAGGCUUGAACUAGGUCUUUCCACGACUUGACUUGGGUCCUACUCAAUUGAUUGUACCAUUUCGCUGCAGCCCCACUCAAACUGUUCUGAAAACAAUGGAUCAACAGUUGAUCAUUGUUGACAUACCCCGUCAUCUGUCGACAAAAUAUCGUAAUGUAAUCCUCAGGGCAGCUGGUCCCGUUAUAUCUUUCAAACUCCAGCAUUUUAAACUUCGGGGGAAGUACUAAGUCCGGGACCAAACUCAGUUCCUUUGCAUCAAUUCCGCAGUAAUGAUCAGCAUCCUCUAACUUCUUGAACUUUUCCUCCAACCAUUUGCAUCGAUCCUCAAAUCGUUUUGAGACCUCAGCCUUUGUCUUUUCCACCUAUGUUGUACCGUCGAAGUCAGGGACCUAAGGGUUUGCCAGAUUAUCUCCAAGGUUGGUGUUCGAUCCUACUGGGAAGUUUACUGGUGCUGAGGUACCAAUUUGAUAAAGAGGCUGGACAUUAAUAGACACCCUUGGUGGUUGUAUUUGCAUGUUCACUGGCGCAAAACUUGUAGGACAAGCGGAAACCUCAUUGUCAUUCCCAAUAUCAUCCAUACGGCUUUUUCCUUUGUCAGACCCUCCUUUCAACAGCUGUGUCAGCUGGCUCAUCAUGUUGUUCUGUGACUCCAGCAUGUUUUUCUGGGACUCCAGCAUUUGAUCCCUCACCUCCUGCUAGAUCCUAGCCAGCUGUUCUUGCAUCUGAGCUUGCAGUUGCUCCUGCAUCUCCUUUUGCAUUUGUUCUAAUUUCUCUAACCUCUGAUACAUAUCCCUAGUUUUCCUUCGUGUAUAGUAGCGAUGUUCCAGGGUAACUAGAUAAAUUAUUACUAAUUAAUAGGGUUCUUUUGUGCAACUUAAUGUUUAUGAUGCUAUGCAAUGCAAAUGCAUGACAUGAAUGCAAAAAGGUGUCAAUCUGAUUCAAUUUUAUUUAGAAUAAUUUUACUAAAAGACAAAAUCCUUUACAUAAAAAAUAGACUACAUAUACGGCCUAGCCCUUAUGCCCAGAGCUCUAACUUUUUUAAAAAGUCCAGCCAGCUCUUGACCUCGGUUCGAUGCUGACUCAUAUUUUACAUUUAAUACAUCAGCUUGGACUGCCAGGAUUUGUAAAUGUUUCACCACUUCUCGAAUCUGAACUAUAGCUUCUCCCAUGAGGUGAUCUCUAUCUCGAACUUUAUUCUGGGACCAGUGAAGUUGCUCCUCCAGUUGCUCACUAUUUGCUUCUAGUGAUUCAAUUCGGUGUUCACAAUCCUGUAGCGCAGCCCUAAGUUCUUCUAUUUUCCCCUUCAGAUUCUCGAUCUCACUUAAGCUAGCCUUUAAUUCCAUUAUAGAGUCGCGACUACAAUGCUGAUGCAAUGCCUUUUCUAACUCUGUUAUUCAAGCUCUUAACGUUUCAUUUUCGCAUUGGCUCUCUGAUGUAGUCAUUUUCAAGGCUUCCUCUCGUGCUCGAGCAUCACAAAACCUCAUCUUCCAUUGAUCGGCUUUAGACUUUUCUUCUUGGAUUUCUUGUUGCCAUUGCUUCGAUGUUUUUCCCAACCCGGCAGUUCUCAUCGACAUAUGCAGCUUCUUGUAAUCAUUCUUCAGACUGUCCAAGUCUUCUUCAGCUUUCUUUUUCCCCUUUCUCAGUUUCUCGGCGUCUAAUUUUUGGACGUCAAUGUCCAAUUUUAGAUAUACCUUCUCCUCUUCGAGUUGCUCUAUCUUUUUCCCCAACUCUGAACUUCUUUUCUCAAAAUUCUGUUUUAUAAUUUCCAAUUCGGAGUGAACUACUUGCAGAUACUCCUCUAUCGGUUGAGCACCCUCUAAACUCGACCCAGGGAUAUUGUCGUUAACUCGUCUACUCAACCAUCCAUCAUACUCAAGGGUCGUCAUCGGAUCUGCAGCCAACCCUUCCAUUCGACGAGUCUGAUUCCAAGCAUUAGAAAUCUAUUUAACCCUUUUCUUGUAGUCUCCCUUAUACGAAAAUUCGCAUUAAACAAGCCCAUGGGUUACCGGUAUGAACUGUCUUGUUGCAUAUUGCCUAAACACGAGCAAGAGAGCAUAUCCAAUGGCUCCCCAGAUCCCAAGCAAAGGGACCCAAUCGAAACUCCCACAUCGAAAAAGAAUUUUGUUAGGCAUCCACCAAUGUGCUUUCCACUCAAUGUCCUUUCCUUGGAGAUUCUGCAGGAGCGCGAUCCAGUUUUCUUCCGAUAUGUCAUCUCUUCUGGGUGUAGCUACUAUCUCCUUUAAUGGGGAAUAAUUCCCAAAGAAAGCUCGAUAAUGACCUUUGUCUAUCUUCAAAAAAUGACUGUGAAACCAUACUAACAAUAAUUGUGCACACCCUAUAAAUCUGCCCUCGCCAGUCCUUUUACACGCGUUCAAGGACCUGAAUGUCUCAGCUAAAAUUGCAGGAACUGGUGUGACUCCCUUGUCAAGUCGGUCGAAUAGAUCCGUGACCGCCUCAUCAACAUAUCUCAAUGCCCUAGGGAAGAGCAUCAACUCGUAGAUACUCAAGGCAAAUACGUCAACUUUCUUCUUCAUAUCAGGAUGUGUUAGGAUCAAAUCUCGCAAAUUCUUCCAUGGGAUGCACUUACACUCCCCUUUCUGCUUGAUCCUCACCGUAACCUACUGUUCGCUCAUUCCAGUAAUAUUCAUUAGCUUUUUCGAAAACGCCAGAACAUAGGCAGCUCUCGAAUAGGCCUUAUCGACUUGUAUAUUUUAUUUAUCAUAUUUUAUUUAUUAUUUUUUUACCGUUUGCUAUUAUUUUACUAUUAUUUAUAAUUUUUAUAAGUAUAUAUUUUUCGCUAAAGUUUUUUCAAUAUAAUUAUUAAUAGACCUACUAUAUUAUUUUUAUUAUUUUUAUAUACCAUAGUUUUUUUUAUCGAAUAUUUCUUAUACUAAAUUAUUAUUAUUUAUUACUUUUCACUUUCACUAAUUUAGCAUUGUUAAUUUAACUUUACUAUUAUCACUAUAUAUAUACAUCAUCAUUCAACAUAUCAUUUUCACUUCUAUUAUGCAUUUUCGUAUCGUUAAUAUCUUUAUUGCUAUGUUUGUUAUGUUAUUAUAUUUAUUACUAUUGUUAUAAUUAUUGUUGAUUUUCCUUAUAUUUACUAUAUUCUAGGUAUUAAUAUAUACACUGUCAAGUUUAUUAUUAUGCUGCUAUUUUCAUAUCGCAUGUCAUCAUUUUUUUUUUGAGUUUCAACCGCCCCAAUUUCAUUUUAUUCAAAGAUUUAUCCUAGAUUGUUUUCAAAAUAAAGGCAAUAUUCGAUAUCUGAGAUCCUCGGGAGGGUUGUGCCCUAACUUACUGAGUACCAAUUUUCCUCGUUGAACCUAAAUAAUUGAGUACCCUGCUUAAAUCUAAUUGUAUGAGGUUCAAAUAAAAACCUAUUCUUGAAAUUUGGGACGUUGCACCCUAACUUACUGGGUGUGGCAUCGCGUUAUAUUGAGGGUAGUGAUUUCCAAAAUCAAGGCAACCUUCAGUAUUUGGGAGUUCUGAGAGAUUGAGCUCUAACUUACUGAGUUCUAAUUUUUCAUGAGUCCUGGAGGACCGAAUAUCCUUCUCUCGAACCUUCAUACAUGAAUUUUAAAAAUCGAAGACCAACUUAGUCUCGAAGGUCUGAAAUGUUGGACCCUAACUUACUGGGUAUGGCAUUCUUUCCUUCGAAAUGGGUAGGUCUUUACAUUUUAUUCAAAUAAUUUCGAUUUUCUUUCAAAUAAAAGGAUCGUACUCUAAAAUCUUUUCAAAUUUCAACAUCAAGACAUCAACUAAUCAAAUAGGUACCAAUUUUUGGGCGUUACGAGGAUGCUAAUCCUUCCUCGUACGUAACCGACUCCCGAGCCCAUUUUCUCAAACUUAGCAGACCAAAAAGAAUUAUUGUUUUAAUAGGCCCAGAUGUUUUAUUAAAACGAUUGAUUUUAAGGUGGCCCAAUCUCACCUUGGAAAAGAUUGGUGGCGACUCCACGUUUUUCAAAACUUAAAGAUGGUUUCGACAGUAUUUAUUUGUAAUGACCCGAAUUUUACCGUUACCGAAAAAAUAUAUUUUCGGGUCUCCGUUUCUAAAAAAUGGAUUCGUAAAUAUUUAUUAAAAAUAUUUACAAAGUAAAAUGAGUGGUUAAUUAGAGUUUAAUUAAGUGAAUUUAAAUUUAAUUAAGAGUAAUUAAGUAAAAUGACCAAAUUGAAUAAAGUGUGAAAGUUGAAUUAUAGAUUAAAAGAAAAUAAAAAGGACUAAAAGGACAAUUAUACAAAAAGUAUAAAUUGAGGCGGUUUAUCGUGAAGAAAAUCUAAGAUUUUUUUUUAUGUUUAGUAUAUUAUUAUAUUAUUAUAUUAUUAUAUAAUAAAGAUAUUUUAUGUUUUAAUUAUAUUAUAUUAUAUUAUAUUAUAUUAUAUUAUAUAUAUAAACUAAAGAAGCAAAUGAAAGGAAAUAGAAACAAAUGAAACGAAACAGAGAGCAGGGGAGAAAAAGAAAGAAAGAAGGGGAGAAAAGGGAAAAUUGAAGGUUUGAAGCUUUAAGCUUUAAUAGUCAAUGUGGUACCGGAAAUCUCGGCUAAGAAAGACAAGACAAAGUCAAAGGGAGUUAGCUCGAAAAUUACGGUUAAGUAAAGAUAGUACGUUGAAUCGGUAUCCCAGGACGAUCACGAAUUCAUUAAGGUAAAGUAUGUUGAGUAUUGAUAAUGGCAUGUACCCAGGAUGUUUAAUGAGAGUCAUUUAGGUUGUAAAAGUAUUGAUGAAAUAAGUAAAUUAUGGUUGGCAACGGUAUAUAGUAUGAAUUUUGAAAUUUACUAAAAAUUCGUAGUGAUUCUAAAUUAGUCCCGAAUUGAAUUUACUGUUCAUAUUGGAUCGCAAGGGCCCAUUAAAGGGACUACAUCUUAAAACUAGGAUGUGUGUGAAUAUUUAUUUUAAUUAAUGACCAGAAUUGGACUGUACUGACUGGUAAUGUCUCGUAACCUUAUUCCGGUGAUAGUAUAGGGUUAGGGGAUGUUACAUUAUUAAAUAAGAGUUAAUUAUUCUAAAAAAAUAGAUUUAAUUAUACUAUAUAGUCCUAAAUUAUAGUUAUUAUUUUAAAUUUAUUCUUAAACUUCAAAAAGUUUUAAUUAAAUUUUCAAGCUAUUGAUGGUAUAUCAAUCAUUUCCUUCAAUUAUUAAAACUGUUAAUUUAAUAUAAAAUAACAUGUUAAAAACUUUUGUGGCAUAAUUUAAAAUGAAAAAAAAAGAGUAAAAUAUUAUCGCAUAACUUUUAAAAAUAAAAAGUAUGAAGAAAGUAAAACUGAAAAAAGGGAGACUGGGCGAUGAAGCUUUUGUAAAAACUUGGAAAACCUAUUUUCAUAAUAUUCGAUUUUCUUUAAACUUCUCAUUUUAAACAAUGUUACAUAAGAUUUGACAUCUCAUUUAACGGUUAAAUGAGUGAUUUUAGUAAUGGAAUGACCUUAUUGAUAUAAUUUUGAUAGUUUGGGGAGAAAAAAAAAUUUGGGGUUAGAGGGUAGAAUUAAAAAUUGUAUAUUUUUAUGAGAUUUAAAAUGUAAUAUUUUUCAUUUUAAUAGUCUAUAUGUUUAUAUUUUUUAAAGGACUAAAUCAAAAUUUUGUUAUUUUUUGGCACAAAAUGUAAUUUUACCUAUACUAAAAUAAAUUAUAAAUUCUAAAAGGUCAAAAAUAAAAAAAUUCCCAUUUUAAAGGGGGUUGGGCCCUACCAACCCCUUAUGACUUGCCUCUGAUUAGAAUGUUUUAAAGUUUAAAAACCAAUUAAAAAUGGGGAUAAAUCUUAAAAUUAUACCUAAACUUUGAUUUAAUGUGCAAUUGUAUACAUUAACUUUAAUUUGGUGCAAUUAUAUACAUGAUACUCUAAUUGUGCUUCAAUUAUAUAUUUGAAACUUUAAUUUUGAUUUAAUCAUAUACAUUUAAAGAAAUAAAUAUAUCAAUUUAUUUUUAUAUUGGAUAAAUAUAUUUAUUAUGUUAUAUCAAUAAUUUACAAGAAUUAAAUCAAAUCAAAAUUUUAUAUAUAAAAUUGUACAAAAUCAAAGUUUAUGUAUACAGUUGCACAUUAAAUCUUAAUUCAUAUAUAAUUUUGAGAUUUAUCCCAUGAAAAUGAAAGUUAUAGUUUGAAGAUAAAUUUAUAAAUAUCAAUAAAAUAAAGAAUGUAAUUAUAUAAUAGUAACCCAAAAAUGGGUAUUGUGGGUAGCUACCUUUGGAGUUGGUAAAAAUCUCAGUUUGAAUAUUAAAUACAGAAAGUUAGAAGAAGCAGCCAACGAAAUGGGUGCUUUCUAAAUUAAGAAGCAAAAUCAGUAAGUUAAAUUAGACAAAAUGUCUGAAAGCAAGGUUGAUGAAAGAACAGACAAAAUCAGGAAAAGCAGUAUCAAAAACAGAGAAAACAAAGUCCACAUUCUCAACCUCUUGGUUUGACUUUCAAUAUGGCCUAAAAUUGGAGAAUUUUUGUAAUGUUUAAUUUGUGUUUUAUGAUUUACUCGAUUAAAUUUAUCGUGAAUAAAUAUAAUUUGAUUGUUCAGGUUUUAAUGUUGAUUUGAUUAGGUGUUCACCUUUCAAGAUUAGUUUGAUUUCGAAUAUCAAUAUCAAUAUUAAAAUAAUAUAUUCGAUAUCUAAAUAUAUAAAAAUUCUAAUCUAUUAAAACUAAAAUUUUAAAAAUAAUCUAAAAUCAAACAAAAAUUAUUUAAAUCUAUAAUAUCAUAGUUAUAUACAGGGCUAUGUAUCAUUAAUAAUCUAACCUAAUUAGAUAAUGCUAAUUGUAUAUAUUAUAAUCUAUUAUAAAGCUAAUUACAUGUUUAGGGUUUAAAAUUAUAUAUCAUUAAUAUAAAUAUAUAUUAUAAUUUACCAUAAUGUUUAUUAGACAUCGUGUGUGUAUAUUUAUUGGUUUAGUCACGUCAUAAUCUAUUUUACGAUCUAAAACUAGUCUUUUUUGAGUUGGGUAGUAGUAUUCAGGAAAAGCCCUCUCAACAAUGACGAUUCUAAGCUUCGAACUUUGUUCAAAUGCUUGCGCUUAUAAAAAAAAAUGGACAUUAUAAUAUCAUAAUCCUAAUUGUAUAUACUAUAAUCUACCAUAAAUUUAUUUACUGUUUAUGUUGUAUUUCAUUAACAAAAGGAUACAUAUUAUAAUAUCAUAAUUGUAUAAUUAUUAUACAUUUAGUUUCAAAAAUAAUAAUUAUUAUACAUUAUAAUUUACAUAUAUAUAACAAUUUAUAUAUUAUAUGUCUUUAAACGUGUAUAUAUGCAUAUUAUUUUUAUAAUAUAAUAUGUAAUAAAAAUAAUUAUGUUACGCUAUAAAAUUUUAUAAAUUUAUAUUUUAAUAUUUAUUUUAAUUAUAUGAGCAUAUAUAUUUAAUUUUUUAAAUUAAUUUAAUAAUAAAAUGGAUAAUGACAAAUUUAGGGUUUUGAACAAUUCAAUUUUUUUAUUCAGUCAUGUAAUGGCGUAAAUUCAAUAUUAUCGGAACAGUGGUUUCGUAACCACAAAUCCGAUUUAAAGAGAAAUUUAUUUCAAUAUUUUUGCUUGAAAAUUUAUAUGAUAGGAAAAUCGUAUGAAAAUAUUAAUAGGAAAAUUUUAUCAAUUUAGUGAUUAGUUAGAAAAAGAUAUUAUUGAAGAAAUUGGGUAAAAUAAGGUAUCGAGACCUCUAUCUCGUAAAACCGAGUCAAAAAUAAUUUUAUAAAUAUUUAUGAAAUGUUAUUAAUAUGGUAUUAAAAUUUCGUUAGGAAAUUUUAAUGUUUGGGUAGUCAAUUAAAUGAAAAGGACUGAAUUGUAAUAGGUGUAAAAGUUGCUAGAGUGAUUAAAUAGCUUAUUAGUCUAAUGAGAAAGGAUAUAAAAGGCAAUUAGACCCAAAAGUUAUUUGGGCUGGACUUCAAGGGUAUGAAAUCAGCAGAAAAAUUGAUAAAUUAAGGGUAAAAUUAGAAUAUUGCAAAAUUAACUAAAUAAAACUAGGACUAAAUAGGAAAUAUCUAGAUUUCUCUUCAUUUCUCUUCAAUUCCAGCAGCUAAAAAUGCCAUAGGAGGGUUCUAUAAGCUGGUAUUUCAUAAUUUUUGCACCAAGUGAGUUAAUCCUUGCCUUUUUCUUGUAAUUUUUGUAUUUCUAAGACUUUUACAACUAGAUCCUACUAUUAAAUUCAUUAGUUUUUGAUUUCAUGGAUGAAAUUUAAAGUCACCAUGGUUGAGUGCUGUAAGUUUAUGAUGAAAUAGAAUGAAAUUAAAGCUUUAACUUGUUUAUGAGAUGAUUUUAUUAGGCAAUUUCAAUGGAAAUUGAUUUUUGGGACCUAAUUGUGAAAAUGUUUGGAAUUAAAGUCUAUUGCUGAAAUUCUGAUUCCUAAAGGUUGUAAACUAGUUUAAGGUGAUAGAAUAAAAUAUUAAUUGAGAAAAAUCAGCUCAAUUGAGAGGCUAAUUGAGUAGGGACGAAAUUAUCAUUUAUUAAAAGCUUAGGGGAAAAAUGGUAAUAAACAGCUUGCACUAAAACAGUUUGGACAGCAGCAGUAGACUAACUUUGAAAAAUCACCAAAAAUUGUAGGACUCGAAUUAGAAGAUGAACAAAAUAUGGAAUUAAAUAUUAUUGAGUCUAGUUUCUCAUAGAAGAAAUAUUGUAAGCAAUGGAUUUGUAAAUUUUGAGAUAUAAUGAAUUUUGUGAGACAAGGUCAGAAUGAAUUCGGGUUCCCCUGUUCUGACUUUGAAAAAUUAUAAAAAAUUGAAUAAAAAUAAUUAGGGACUUAAAUUUAUAUUUAUAGAAUUCUGAAUGAGUAUAUUUUUAAUAGAAACAAACAAGAACAUCAUUUGAAUUCUGUAUAAAGAGAUAAUUUAUUUUUAGUGAAGAAGGGUCAGAACUGUUAGACAACAGAACAGGGGUGACUUUGAAGAAUAAACUGUAUUGAUUGGCUAAACCAAAAAUUCUGAAAAUUUUAUGGUAAAAAUAUAUAUGAGUCUAGUUUCAGGGAAAAUUAAAGGAUCUUAAUUUGGAGUUCCGUAGCUCAAGUUAUAAAUAAUUUAGUGACUAUGACUCAAGUAGACAGCUUUGAAUGAACUAUAAAUAAUAGUUGAAUUAUAGAGAAUGUUGCAUAUGAACAUGAAAUGUAUUAAAUUGAUAAUUAAAUUUAUUUAUUUAGAUCCAGAAGAUUCAAAUACGAAGCUAGAUCGAGGAAAGAAAAAAGUUCGGGAUUAAUAGAUUUUUACUGUUUACAAACAAGUAUCAAGGUAAGUUCAUGUAACUUGAAUUAUAUUAUUAAAUGCUUGAGAUUGUAUGUUAUUGAUGUGAAUAUGAUUUGUGUGUUCAUUGUAUGAAAAUUAAUGAAACAUUGAUAUAUUUGAUAAAAUGGGAAGAAAUCCCGGUUGAAUGAAAGGAAAAUUCGAUGGAUCUCUGAAAAGGAAUUGACGGUAAAAAGGAUCUAGCCCGGACGGGUGAUCCUAUCCUGAUAUAGCCCUCCCGAAGAAUAUGUGUAAAAUGGAUUUAGCCCGGACGGGUAAUCCGAAUUAGGGUUUGAAUUUAGCCUGGACUGGUAAUUCAGAUCCAAGCUCAUUAGAGUAAUUGUCGUUGCAGGGGAUUUAGCCUGGACUGGUAAUCCCGACAAUACUCUAUGAGUUUAUAUUGCAGGGGAUUUAGCCUGGACUGGUAAUCCCGCUGCAAGGUUGAGGUUCGCGGGAGUGUGCUCUCUGAAAUGGAAAUGUGCGCACAUGAAUAUGAACUGACGGACCCGGAAUUGUACACUAAAAGUGUACCUCUGAAAAUUCAUCGAAAUUCCGAUAAAUUCAACGGGAUAAAUAUGAAAAAUAAUAAGGGAAUGAAAAUCAUGGUAUUGUUGAGUACAUCAAUCAUGGUAUAUAUAUUAUUGAUACAUGGAAAUUAUUGUACUAACUUGAAUGUUGAGUUUGUGCAUGUUAGGGUAAUAAUGCAUUGAAUGGAUAUAUGAAUGUUUAUUAUAUUGUAUUGAAAAUAUUAGGUAAGUAUAAUUCUUGUUACAUGAGCUUACUAAGCACAAAGUGCUUACCCCGUUUCCUUUUUCCCUGUUUUGUAGUGUUAAGAGCUCAGAGGUCGGAUUUGGUUGGAGACACAUCACACUGUCAACCUCAGGAUUUCGGUAUAUAAAGAAACUUUAUUUUGGAAAUCAAUGGCAUGUAUAAGCUAACAAAGUAAAUGUUAACGUGAAAUGAAUGUAAAGUUAGCCAUUAGUAUGGUUAACAAACCUGGUUAUAGAUAUGUGAUGACGUUAUCUUAUAUAAAUGCAUGAAUCUAUCAUGAAAAUAUGUUGAAUUGAAAAAAAAAAAUUAAUUCGUAAACUCCGGUAAUGCCUCGUACCCUAUUCCGGCAAUGAAUACGGGUAGGGGUAUUACAAGUCAGGUUUACGAAUACAGAAGAAUAAGAUUUAAAAAAAAGUUUAACGACAAAUUUAACUAUUAAUGUUUGCAUGUUUUGUCAAAAUGGCCCUAAUUGUAUUUUUUUUAUCAUUUUCUGGCCAUCAACCUUUGUUCAUUUUUUCAAUCUGCUUUUUCUAAUAGAUUUGAUGAAAGUACUGUUAAAAAAGUUAACGUAGAUGAUGUGAAAUUUCAUAUAUGGAAUAUUUUUAAUGAGAUGUAAUUUAUUACUUAGAUAACCUAAUAAGAUAAUUACAUGUGAAAAUAAUAAAAUAAAUAAACAAUAAAUUAAAUUAAAAAAUAACUCUUAAUUUAAAGAAAAUAAACGUAAUUAUCUAAAAAAAAAUUAACUCAAUAGAAAAGCUUUUUGAUAAACAAACGUACGAAAGAUCAGAACUUUUUGAAAGAAAAGAAAUAUUGGAACAUUGAAUUUAUUCAUUAAAUCAAUUAAAAAAUACAGUUUAAAAAAAAUCAAAGGUUGAUAACAAAAAAAAGCUCAAAAAUACAAUUAGAGCCAUUUUGACAAAACAUGCAAAUGCUAGUGGCCAAAUUUAUCAUUAAACAUUUAAAACAAAAAGAUGUUAAGAAAAUAUUUUUUGGGAUAAAAAUUAAAAAUAUUUAAAAUAAUUACUUCAUAAUUUAUUAAUUAUUAUAUUUAAUUUUGAAAAAUACUUUAAAUAUGUUUUUUAUAGGUUAUUUAUUAAUUUGUGUAAAUUAUAAUCAAAGUUUAUGAGAGAUAUUAAUGGUUCCUUUCAUAUAUAAAAGGCUUUGAGUUCAAAUCUUGUUAGAACUGUAACACCCCAUAACCCUUACCUGUCGUUGGAAUAGGGUUACGAAACAUUACCAAAUUUUUUAGAACAUUUCAGAACAAAUAUGAAUAGUCACAUAAUAAUUUAACAUAUACAUCAUAAUUUAAUCAUAAUAUCCCUUUAUUGAGCCCUCGAGGCCCAAAUCACGUGUUAGAAGCAAAUCAGGACUUAAUUAGAAGUUUAGAAAAUUUUUCGUAAAAUUUCAAAAUUUUUCCUAAGUACAGGACUCUCCUGCCCGUGUGGUUUAGGGACACGCCCGUGUGACCCUAAACACGCUCAUGCUUCAGGCCAUGUCUAAGCCCAUGUAACUCUCUGACUUAAACAAAAAUUAAGUGCAGUUUUCACACGACCGGAACACAUGCCCAUGUAUAAGCUGUGUGUCUCACACGAUCUAGUCACACGCCCGUGUGCCAGGCCAUGUAGACUCAAAAUGAGCCUUAUUCAUCAAGUUUACCAACUGUACAAAUCUUGAACAACAAGCAACUCAAAAUUUAAUUGUUCAACCAAUCCAAAACACAUUCAAAUACAUUUAAAAUAUGUCAAAUUAAUCAUUCCUAAUGCCCAAUCAAUAUACUCUUAAAGAUUUUUCACAUAUAAUAUCCAAAACAAUUCAAAUAAUCACAUAUCAAUCACAAAUCCAUAGUCAUUCAAUUCAAUCUCAUAAUGCUAUUCACUUACCAUAAUCAUUAACUUAAAAUACAACAAUAAUAAUUGUUAAAUUCGGAUUAUAGAAAUACAAACUGUAAUUCUCGAGUUACUCCUCAUUAACUUUGUCUUUUCCUUUCCUAAUUGAAGUCUCCAGCUCAAUGUUAGCUACGAAAAUAGAACAAUUAAAAUUUAUCAAUACAAUACAAUUUCACAUUGAAUAUUUCAAUUUAUACUCAACUUUUGCCUAGAUUCCAACUUAGUCCUUAAAUCAAAACUAACUCUUUUUCUUACAAAACUAAUUCCAUAUCUCAUUCAAUUUCUAUUUUAAACUAAUUUCAACUCUCUAAUUUCACCAUAAAACCCUUAUUUCAAAAUUUUUUCAAUUUAGUUCCUAUUACUCAAAACUUAUAGUUUAUUUUACAAUUCAAUCAUUUUCUCAAUUCUAACUUAAAAUUCUAUCAAUUUAACCCCCAAUUCUUCAAUUUAUUCAACAUGAACAUCAUCUAAAAAUUAACUAACUUUCAAAAUUUCAACUUAAAUCAAGUAGUAUUUUGUUCUAGGAUUCCAAAAAUAUCAAAAUUACAAGAAAAUGGAUUAAAUUGACUUACUGUGAAAAUAAAAUAAAAUAAAAAAUAAAAAAAGACACACAGAUUUUUACAUGGAAACCUUUUCGGGAAAAAAAUCACGGGCAGAGGAGAAGAGAAUUCACUAUGUCGAAUUCGAAUUAAUUACAAGAGGAAUAGGCUAUGUCUAUUUAUAGGCUUGUAAAGCCAUAUUCUAGUAAGACUGAAAUACCUUAUUCCAAUCAAUAUCCAAUAGAUGAAAUUUAAUAAGGUUUAAAAAACCUUAUUCUAAAAUAAAAUAAAAGAAGUGUAAUUCUAUAUGGAUUCUUUUUUUUAUUUUAUUUUAUCACUGUAUUUCAUUUAAAUAAGGAUUCGGGUCACUUAAUUCUAACACUUACCAAUUUGAGUUUGAACCUUAAAACCUUAAUUUUUCCUUUUUCUUUUCUUUCUCCUUUCUCCUUCUCUAUUUCAUUUUCAAUUCUGUUUCUUUUUCAUUCUUUUUGUUUCUUUAUUUACUUUAUUUGUUUAUUUUAUUAUUAAACUAUUAUAAUAUAAUAUAAUAUAAUAUAUAUUUAUACUUAAAUACUAAGUAAUACUUAUUUAUUAUUUUUUUAUACAUGUGUAUAUUAUUAGUACAUAUGUAUCCAUUUAUUACCAUACACUUGUUAUGGUUUAAUUACUAAUUUAGUCCCUUCACUUUUCUCUAUUCUAUAAUUCUAUUUGCAAUUUAGUCCUUAUACCUAAUUAUUCUUUAUUUAGAAAAAUUCACCUAAUCAAAACCUAAUUAACCACACAACUAAUUUCGUAAAUAUUUUUAAUAAAUAUUUACGAAUCCGUUUUACGAAAACAGAGACCCAAAAAUACACUUUUUUGAUACCUGUAAUUUUGGGUCGUUACAAGAACUAUCCAUUAGUCGGGUCACCUAGCCCUACCCGAAGGCCUACUAGAAAAGUGGGAGAGUUUGGAAAAAAAUAUAGGCCCGAAAAAUGGGUUUGGGCAAAAAAUAAGGCCCAUUUAGAAAACGAGCUAAGCCUGGGUAAAUUUUUUUUGGCCCAGGCUGUAACAUCCCAAAAAUUGGCUCAGAAGAAAUCGUAUUUUGGAAUCCAAAAGAGGUCAUCCCUCGAUUUGAGUUUAGACAUUGGAAAUUCUAGACAAGUAAAUUGGUUUGGUUUAGUGGUUAAGUGUUUUGGGUAUAUAUGUGAGGUUUCGAGUUCGAAUCAUGUUUUUGGAAUUUUUUUUCAUUUUGCUUAAACCCUUACCUUUGAACGUGUGGUUUAUAAGUAAUUGUGUGCAAUUGAUAUCAAGAAUGAGCUUGUUCGUUCGAUAGUUAAGUGUCUAUACACCUUUUGGUCUUGUGUUCAAAUCUCAAUAAAAGCUAUGGAGAUAUUGUUUUUACUGAACUACCUUGUGGGGUAGUUUAUUUUAGUUAAUUAACAUUUCCCAAAACAAAACUUCCAUUUCUUUUUUUUUCACAUUGUUUCAUCUUUUUUAUUUUUAAUGCUACAUUUUUCUUACUUCUGCAUUGAUUUUGUUUCACCGUUUCAAGUUUCUUUUGUUUUGUGCUAUGUUACGUUACACUGAUUUUGUACAGGGUCUGACUUCUCCUUUUAGUUCAAUUCGCUGGUUAGUAAGUUUGAUUUAAGUUCUAGUGUCGAAAGUUCUUUGACGUAACUUCGAUUUUAGAAUAUUAGUUUUGAGCGAUUUAACUGUGAUUUAACUGUUUGUUGAACAAUUGUUUGUCUUUAGGGACAGGAAUUCAUCUUUGUUGCUCAUGCAUUGAGUCCGUAUCAGGUGGGUGCCGAAACCCCUCUUUUUUUGUAUUUUUUAUCAUCGAAAAACGUGAAUGUCGAUGCCAUACGACCGUGUAACUCACUGUUUAUCGAAUUAGUGCCACAUGAGCAAGGCACUCGGGCGUGUGUUUAGGCCGUGUGUGGCCAUAUUAGUGUAGGGUUCACACAGGCAACAAACAAUAGUGUGUAUCUAGGCCGUGUAUCUCACUGUUUGUGACUUAGGACUACAUCGCCAGGGACAUGGGCGUGUGCCCAGGCCGUGUGAGUCACAUGGGAAAAGACAUGGGUGUGUGUCUAGGCCGUGUAACUUACUGUUUAUGGUUUAGAACCACACAGGUAGAUGACAUGGGUAAGGACAUAAGCGUGUGCCCAGGCCGUGUGAGCCAUACAGAUAAGGACAUGGGCGUGUGUCCAGGUCGUGUAGCAUAUGAAUAGGAUUCGAAUCUUAUUUUUGAGGUUGUGAGUGUUGCCCAGCAUGAGUACUAACCUCUACAAUGUAUUUAUGAUCUGAAUUUAAUUGUAUUAGGAUUAUUUGAUGGUCUGACGAUGAACUAUUUUGGAUCUAUACGUAUGUCUGCUAUGUGUGAAUCUAAGUAACUAAGAUUUGUCAAAACGUAAUGUGCUACUAUCUGAUGUGUGCGAAUUAUCCAGGUACAAUCUGUAUUUUGUUAAAUUUACUGGAAUGCCCCUGCAUUUUUCUGUUGAUGGAGAAUAUGCGAUAUCUGAAUAUGUUUGAUUGAUUGUCACUGAUUUUGAUUUAUAAUCGUGCAUGCGACUUCAUAGCAAUAUGAUAUGGUUGUUGAGGUUUGAUAAGUCUGUUUUACAAAACAUGGACUCCCAUAUUUUUUGAUUUUGUUAUUGAGAGAUAGCAUGACUUACACGCUCAUUACUUUGAUUCUACAUAAGCAUGCCAUAACACACUGCAUGAUACUUAGGUUGAUGUAAAAUGAGGAAAUUUCUGGUAGUUUAAUGAUCUGCAUUAUUUGGUGGUUUAUCUACACUUCUGUUCUGACAGUUCGACUGUACUAUAGUGGCUUGACCACAUAUAUUUGAUUGCAGUUUAACUGCAUAUUGAUAAGGCAUUGUUGCCGGGCAACUCAAGAUGACUUUGUUGAUGUGCUUUGGAUGGAUAAGUUUGAGAGAGAACUCUAUCUUGGUGUGUAGCGGAGUUUGGGUAGAAUGUUUUUGAUAAAUUUGUAUUCUAAUCUAUUUGAAAAUACUGCAUUUGCAUAAACAUACAUGCUCUGUCUGCUCUAUUUCAUUCUGUUCUGUUCAAUCUGUCUGCUUUGUACCAUUCGAUUCUGUUCAGUUCUAUUUGAUUCUUACUAUAUGAUUUAUUUUGUUCUGCUGUAUUCAGUUUUUGCUUUGUACUGCUGAACCACCUUUGAUCAAAUUUCUGUGAUGCUCUAUAUUUGUGCGGGCUGGUUAUACAAUUGCUCUUAAGUUCUUUGUGUUACUACGAUUUAUAUAGUAUGUUCUGCUUAUUUGUAUUGAGUCUGGAUAUAUGCGGUGAUUGACCCUUUAUCUUACCUUUAAUUGUCAGGAAAGCAUCAGAUUUAGAAUCAGACGGCGUACGAAAGCUUGAAUUGUCUUGCACUGUAAUAAAUGUGAUUUGAUCUUUUGGGUUUGUAAAUUGUCUUUGGAUUUGCCUUGCUUUCCUUUUGACAAUCUCGUCCGUAUCAAUCAAUUUCUAACACGAAACUAUAAAAUCACUUAAACCGACAAAAAUGAAUUACUGGUUUCUAAGUUAAAAUCUCGAAAAGAAAUCAGUUUUCAAUGCGUUGGUGUGACUCAUCCAAGUUUGGCUUAAACUUCUAGGCCGGGUUUGGGGUGUUACACUAGCUCGGCUCGAUUUUGUAAAAAAGAUAAAAAAAAGUUGUUUUCUUGUUAUUUUCCCACUGUUUUUUUUACUAUUUUGUUGCCAUUUCAAUAUUAUGUUGUUAUUGUUUGAAUAUUGUGUAACUCUUAUUUUAUUGUUAAUUUAAUUUGCUACUAUUUUAGAGCAUUUGCUUGUUAAGGUGCAUCUAUUUUAGUGCUAUUCAAGUAUAAAUAUUUUUUUAAAAUUUAUUUUCAAUUUGUAGGGAAACUGAUAAAGGAUGAGACGGAUAAACGCAGAAGCGGAUCGUAAAGUUUUUCAAAGUCGCGGAUUUGACUUAAGCCUCUAAACAUUCGGAAAGAAACUUAGAUUUUAACACAAACCUGAAAUAAAAUUGAAUCUAAGUCAAAUAAAACAAUUAAAAUAACUAAAAUAUAAAACAAUAAAUCAAAUAUUAGAAUAAUAAGGAAGCAAAUAAAGAAGAUAAAUGGAAAGAUAGAACGUGGCGUGUAGAAGUCCUAAGAAGCCUUGGAAAUACGAAGAAUCCACAACCCCCUUCAAGCGGCUCUAAUUUCCACUCCAAGAUAGAAAAAUUGACAAGAAAAAGUUUCAAGAUGAUACCCACAAUCUAAAAAGAUUGUUAAAACUCUUCUAAAAGAAACUCCAGAGAAAUUUUUGAAAAGAAAAAUACAGAGAGAAUUUAUUAACUCAAAAAAGAAAUAGAAUAAUAAUGAAUUGUCUGAAUUGUGUACAAUACAAAGGCCUAUAUAUAAGCUAGCUAAAUAAAUCUAAAUAAAACUCCUAAGUAUACUAAAACUCUAAUUUAAUCUAAACAAGAACUAGUUUUAAACUAAACUUUCUUGUUAACAUAAAACUUCUAAAUAACUUAAAAUACUUAAUAAUUAUAAAAAAUUUGAAAUAAAAUAAUAAUAAAAUAAUAAAAACUGAUAAAUAAAAUAUUGAGCUCAUAUAUAAUAAAAAUUAAGCCUAAAACUCGAACCCAAUACGAAAUGUCUAGGCUUGUGAGAUCAAUUGGGGUUCUUGAAGUGAAAUGCCUAAGCUUGUUAGCAUUUUCCACAUGAGCUUGUCAUCAUAGAUUGAGAGUUUAGGUGCCCAUGAAUAGAAUUAGUUUCUUCAAAUUCAUCAUUACUCCAGAAUUCAUUGUCUUGAAACUUUAACUCUUCUUCUCGAAUUUUUUUCGUGAUAAAGUCUUGAACAAUUAAGUUAAGUUUUAACUUUAUCUCUUUGGAUUUGGAUCUCAUAAUUGGGUCUUGAGGGAAACUAAGCUCAUCUCUAUUACGGCAUUUGCAUUUGGCUGAGUUGCUCGUAUCGGAAACAUUUAUUUUAAUAUUUUUAGUAUUUUUAAUGUAUUAUAUAUAUUAAAAAUGAUAUAAAAAUUUAAUACGGGGGGCUGAGUAGGGCCUGGGUUAUAGCAUUUUUAUCUGGAUUGGACUUAAACAAAAUUUUAGACUUAUUUUUCAAGCCGAAUCAGGAUCGGACCUAUUAAACGAACUUAAAAUUUUAUCAGGGUCCGACCCAUGAACAAAUCUAAAUCUUAUUAGAAAAAAAUUAAAUAUUUUAUAAUCAAAUUUAAAUAUCUAAAUUGAUUAAUCUACUCUAAAAUCCACAAUAAAUAAUAAAAUUAACAUCUAAAUUCGUAAAAUUUCAAAGUUUAGAAAAUAAACCAAGAAAAAUACUGGGUCUUUGCCUUAGCAGUAUAUGCAUGGCAUUAAAAGUGAUGGUACGUCUUUGCUUACGUUUAUAAUAUCAUUGGCCACCUUGAUAUUAAAAUAAUACAUGUUCACACCUCUUUUAGGGGUCAACAGGUUGUUAAUAAAAUAAAAUUCCCUUCUUACUUUUCUCAAAAUCAAAAUUUGAAGACUAUCUAAUCAUUACACAAAUACAGCUAAGUUUAAUAAUAUAUAAAUUCAGUGUUAAUAAUAUAUAUAAAAAUAAUAAUAAUAUAAUUUAAUAAUAUAAAAUAUAAAAAAAAUUGAUAAGAUUUAUAAGUAAUUUAAGUCAAGUAUUAUUAAACUCGAUAAUUUUCAAAAUAAAUUUAAAACCUUUUGUAAUUUACAUUUACACCCAUGUUUUGAAAUCUAAUUUGUUGUAUUUCUUGUCUUUUUCUUUUUAUUCCUCAUCUUCCCUCAUACGUGAAGAAAUGCUGAGGUCUUACACGUUUUAAAUUAUUAAAUAUGAAAGCAAUUAUUUAAUAUGGUGGAUGAAAAUAUAUAAUUAACUAUAAUUAUUAUUUUUAAUUAAUAUUUACAUGCACCAACUAAUCAAACCUGACAUAUUAUAUUGUUUGGGGGUUAAAUAUAAGUUAUUAAUUAAGUUAGAAAUUAUUAAAAAAUUCUUUAUAAAAUAAUAAAUAUUAGUUAAUAUUUCUCACUUGGUCCUUCAAAUUAUUUUGAUCCAUAUUAGUGAUGGGUUUUUUUUUCAAUUUGGUCCAUGGAUUUUGUUGAGGUUAUAAUUUUUUAUUUAUUGAAUUUUAUAUAAUUAUUUUAAAAUUUUUAAUUUUAAAAUGUUAUGAAAUCUAAAUUUAAAGAUUAAAUUAAGAAAAAAAUUAGUAAAGUUGCUAAAUCUUAUUUUCUUUCUAAAUCUUUCUAUAGUUUACCGGUUUUGGAUUUUUUUUUUGGAAAUGACAUAAUAUUUUUAAUUAUCAUAUUUAAGAAAAUUGGGUUCCAGAUAAUCCGUACAACACGUUUUUUCGUCUAUAUAUUUGGAGAUUCUGUGAUGAAGCGAAAUCUCAAAGUCAUUAGCACCAUGAUGUUUACUCAGCUGUUUACUUCCUUGUUGCUUUUCGCUCUUCCGUUUUUAAUCUUACCCAUCAUCAGAAGAACGUCGAAAUCCCAGAAAUCAGCCUCAUCUCCUCCAAAUAUCCCCAAAUCUUACCCAAUAAUCGGUUCCUAUUUUGCUAUCAAAUCCAAUCGAGAAAACCGUGUGCAAUGGACUACCGAAAUCCUCCAGAGUUCGCCCUCUGCAACUUUCACCCUCCACAACUUAUUUGGUAGCCGCCAGAUUUUCACUGCCAACCCCGCCAAUGUCCAGCACAUGCUCAAGACCCAUUUCUUAAACUACCAUAAGGGCCCUUUCUCCAGGGACGUUCUCUUCGAUUUUCUCGGCCACGGCAUCUUCAACGUCGAUAGCGAGUCUUGGAAGUUCCAGAGACAAGUUUCUAGCCACGAGUUCAACACCAAGUCGCUUCGUAAAUUCGUGCAAACCGUGGUUGAUACCGAGCUUCACGACCGUUUGAUUCCGAUGUUAUUUGAUGCUGUUGUCGAUAAGUCCGUGCUUGACUUGCAAGAGAUUCUUCAGAGAUUCGCUUUUGACAACGUUUGUAAGAUCGCUUUUGGGUUUGACCCUGCCUGUCUUUUGCCUUCUUUACCGUCGGCGCAGUUUGCUGAAGCGUUUGAAGAUGCUACUGAUAUAAGUAGCAGAAGGUUUCGUGCUUUUCUUAGCAUAGCUUGGAAAAUCAAGCGAUUUUUCAAUGUGGGAUCGGAGAAAAGAUUCCAUACUGCGGUCACUCAAGUCCGUGAUUUCGCGAGGAAGAUUGUAAGGGAAAAGAAACAGGAGCUGGCUGAUAAUUCGUCUUUGGAAUCUAUUGAUCUGUUGUCGAGGUUCUUGACCUCAGGCCAUACGGACGAGAAUUUCGCGACGGAUAUUGUCAUCAGCUUCAUACUUGCCGGCCGUGACACAACAUCGGCUGCUUUGACGUGGUUUUUCUGGUUAUUACACAAGAACCCUGAAGUUGAAAAGGAGAUUCUCAAAGAAAUCAA
rnacentral:lncRNA from 1 species